GUCUGCUUCCUCUCUGACUCAGGACUGGAUCAGUUUCGUAGGGUGGUGCCAGGGGGCACUGUGUGGCUUUAGCUAGGGUCUUUGAACUUUGAGUCAAAACUGAGGCUCUGACCCCUUGUGGCCACUGGCCCUCCUUUGACCCCUUUUGGAUGAGUAAGGGGAUUAAGGUUGAUUCUAUGACCUCGCUCCAAGUUGGGUAAUUGCUUCUGACUUGAGGCCUUCUUGUGGUUUCAACUCUAUAGAGCCUGUGACCACCGGGGAGGUGGAGAGCUGAGGUUACCACCUGCAGCUGUGCCUACCUCAGGGGCUUCCUUCUGGGGAGGAGGUGGGAGUCGUAUUGGGGGGCUGGUCGGGCUCUGAGGGGCUCGGUCUUGGCAGGUGUCAGACUGAUGGAGGAGGUAGUGGACAUCAUCCUCCUGAAGCCUAUUGUCCACUUAAGCAGUGAUGUGACAGGAGAAGGCUGGGUGUGCAGCCAGCACAAUCCUCUGUGAAGUCACGGGGGGCUUUUUAUUCCACGGCAUUGAUUUUUCCAAAGAUCUGUCACUAAUAUGCUACCUAAAUGGGCUGUCACUACUGUCACCUGAAACCUGUGCUAAGAAACACUGUAAUUAUCCAGGUAAGAGUAUGUGAGUCAUGAGAGUACUGACCUGAUCAAGGCUUUGCAAUUCUCUGCAAAACUGCUGCCAACCAACCAGUUGCUGCGGAGUCAAUUCCGACUCAUGGUGACCCCAUGUGUGUCAGAGUAGAACUGUGCUUCAUAGGGUUUUCUUUUAUUUAUUCAAUUGAGUGAUUUUUCUUAAUUAAUUUUUUUAAUUGUGGUGAAAGCGUACACACCAAAAAAUUUGCCAAUAUGACAAUUUCUACACGUACAGUUCAAUGACACUGAUUAUAUUCUGUACGUUGUACAACCACUAUUGCCAUCCAUUGGGUUUUCAAUGGCUGAUUUUUUGGAAACAGAUUGCCAUGCCUUUCCUCCAAGGCACCUUUGGGUAGACUCAAACUUCCAACCUUUUGAGUGGCAGCUCAGUGUGUUGACUGUACCACCCAGGGGCUCCAUGACUAGGGCAGGAGAGGGAGGGAGUAUUUUCCAGAAGACGAGGUCCCUGUCCCAGGCAGGCAAGUAACAGGGCCCAAUUCGCCUGGGUGGUGAAUGUUUUUCCACAUGCCCAGGCUGAAGACUUAGACCCACAGUGCUUCACUUCUGCCUCCCUGGGGUUUGGCAGUCGGUGUGUGGCAUGCCUGGGGGAGGGGCCUUCUCUGUUCUCAGAACGCUUUAUUUUAUUGCUUGAAAAUCCAUAGGAAGAUGGGGGUUUUCCUAGCUACAUAUUUUUUGGGAUACAUGUCUGGGGCAGCAGCUGUGUGAUUUUCUGAGGAGAAUGCCUUGGAGGAUCUAAACAGCGAGCAAAGGAAGAACAAAGGAACCUUUCUCAGAAGCAUGGCAAAAAUGAAACCAAAUAAAAACCCCAUAAAAAUCCCUUCUUGGGCAGAGGAAAUACCAACUUGAUGCUUUUGAGCCACAUACUCAGUAAUAAAGGAAAGAUUCACAGAUAGGCCAUUCUGAGGUGAUUUUGUUUGGACUUGAGGGAGAAUGUGCUGGAAAACAACGACAAGGAGUCAUGCAAAUGGGAAGUCCACGGGUGUGUGUGUGUGUGUGUCUGGUAUGUUGUUGCAAUUCAGGAACUGGCCGAUGAUCAGGGUUCAUGCAUAGCCUGAAAGAGAUGCUCGACAGGAACUGGUUCAAACUGUGUGCGUAGCAGCCAAGGUCAGAUGACUCUCAGCUGAGUCUGCCCCCUGGCCAGCUCCGAUUUAUCAUUGCAGGAACUCUGACCUUGAUUUAGUCACAAAAAUACCAGUUUGGAAAUCUCUUUGAAGAUUGAUUAAGUAAACACUCACAGCACAGAUAAUAAUAAUUGAGUGACGUCGUUGGGUUAUUUGCAGUCAGUAGAAGAAUGUGCUGAUUACGAAGCUGACAGGCCUGCUGCCUUUCUGUUCCUCUCAUUUGGCUUCCUCACCGUCACAGUUUCAGGCACACAGAGCGUUCAAAGGGGAUGGAGUUGAGGACGUGGAGACUUUCACUCUCAUUUCACUGGUGUGAGAAGGCCCUGUGGACAGAAGCCGCUGUCACCACACAACACCUGGGUGUGGCUGUGGCAGGCACCCCUCUCAGCACACCUGCCUAUGUGGGCUCCACGUCUGGUCUGUGGCCUUGGGCUGUUGUGAGCCCCCUGAGGGAGUGGCUCCCCCAGGCCUCACAGGGAAGGUGGGCAGACAUGCAGGGAAGGCCAGGGUUUCCCCAAGGAGUUCCACACCUCUCUGCACAGCAUGGUGGCUCUACCCUUGUUUUGGCCAAUUGGGCAAGAGCUGGUUGGGCUUCCCCGGGGAUGGAGUAGUGGCCCUUUGGGCACCUUGUUGUUGUUGUUAGCAGCCAUCAAGUCAGCCCCCAACUCAUGGUAACCUCACGCACAACAGAAGGAAAUGCUGCCCAGCCCCACGCCGUGCUGGUGAUUGGUUGCAGUGUGAUCCACAGGGUUUUCAUCAUCUGAUUUUCAGAAGUAGCUUGCCAGGCCUUUCUUCCUAGUCUAUCUUAGGAAGCUUUUCUGAAACCUAUUCAGUAUCCUAGCAACAUGCAAGCCUCCACUGACAGAUGGGUAGUGGCGAAGCAUGAGGUACAUUGGCCAGAAAUCGAACCUGAAUAGAAGGUGAGAAUUCUACCACUGAACCACUAACAUCUCUUUGGCACCUUAGUUUCCUAAUUAUCUGUAGGUGGUGUGAGGAGUGGGCUGCCAGCUCUGGAGUCAGCUAUGCUGCUGAAGUCAGGGUAGGUUGGGUUUAUAUUCUGGGCUUGGGGGCAGCUGUGAUGUUUGUUCGUUCAGUUCAUCUGUUAUUGAUCCAUCCUUCUGUUUAUUUCCUCCCUCACUAGGACUGUCAUCUGGAGUCACAAUGAGACUAUGUCUUCUGCGGUGCAGUGAAUUAUUUAAUAUGGCCCUUCUAGCCAUAGUCUUUCUGAUUCCCAUAUAAUGAUUGGGUGAGACUAUGCAAAUAAGGUGCUUGUGGCCCAUCAAGGGAAUUGGACAACUUGCUAAUAAUGCAAAUAAGGUGCAUGGAACCCUGUAGGGGUGGUACCAUGCAAACUGGGCAUAUGGAACCCUAAUGAGGGGAUUGGUCAGUUUUGCUAUUUCACGAGGCUUAAAAUGAGUCAUCCUGGAGGCAGAAGUGGUGGACGUGACUACCACCAAGAAGGAAAGAUGGGAGUAGAGUACAUCCUUUGAACCCGGGAUUCCUGUGCCUAGACCCUCCUAGACCUAGGAGACAGAGAGAGGAGCUGUAACAUGGAAGGCAGCAAGAGCAGCAAUAGCAAGAGUGAAAAGCAGCGGCAGCAGAGGUGGCUGAACCAGAUCUGCAGGAGACAGUGUGGUGGGCUUCCCAGCCCACAGAGUGAGAGAGCUGAGUGCUCUUGGGCCGAGCCUUCCUGGUGGAGUGGGGUGCCUCUGGGCACUACUGGUGGAGUUAAUGAGCUUUGUUACACUUUCCCAAGCAGGGCAGAAGCCAGGCCGAGGGGCUGAGGGCCAGAGAGAGGCCUGCCUGUGGGCGCAGCUGAGAAGAGCCUGUCCUGAUUGAAAAACUGUGUCCUGAGUAUUUCCUGAUCCUGAAUUGUAACCUGUUAUUUCCCUAAAUAAGCCCUAUAAUUGUGAGUAGAGCCUAUGAAUUGCGAGUGGCCACUGCAACGAAUUACAAACACAGCAGAGAAGGAGACAGUGCCAUGGCAGGGACAGCUGGUGUCAGAAUUGGUAAAAAGGUUGGAGGGUGGAGGCAUGUCUGACCUCUGCCUCAUGGGGAGCAGCCUUGGGCUGUUGAGGCUGAUAGUGAUUCUCUCCCCACUUGUGAGGUUAGAGGAGUUCAGAUGCCUCCAUCCUGCCAUUUUUACAUCUUCUUAUUGUUUUAUCUCCACUGCUGGCCCCGUGCCAAGCCCUUGGCAUGGCUCUGCGUGAGUGCUGCCCUUGCCUCCUGCUUCACCACUGAGCACCUUCACUGAGCAGAUAGCAUGUGCAAGGCCAGCUGGGAGAUACAGAGACAAAGCAGAGAAGUAGAGGAAAAGAGGAACAGGAACAGGCCCGUCCUUUUCAUUGUCUCCUCCCCAAACCCUUCCCAUAGAGCUACUCCUUACCUCUACCCCAACAGAAAGCGGAAACUUAAGGGGAAAUGAAACAGGGGGCUCCUCAGUAAGCCACCCUACAGAAACUCUGGAAUAAAAGAAAGGCCUUGAAUAUAGAACCAGAAGCACUGUCUUUUUCUGGCUGCCUCCCUGCCCUGACAAGGUCUUAUUUAGCUCAUGUGUGUGCGUGCACAUGACCAGAUUGCACACAUGGCCCCACAGAAGGAGCAGGAAGACCAGGAAUAGGGUCCACAGCUGUGGUGGGCAAUUGGAAUUGCGCAGCUGGUGGCAUGCUCAGGGUAUUUGCCAGCCCGAACUUUAAGAUGUACGGUGACUGGGAAGGGCCGCGAUGAAAUAUAUCUCUGGACGCUGAAUUGCGUCCCUCGUUGCCCUGUUUAGCUAAAGGUGAUAGCAAUGUCAGUGUUUCCACACAGAGGCUGCAGGGAGAUUGUCUUCUGAUUUACGGCCUUGGUGAUGGCUGUGUGCUUUGAUGUCUUUGUCCACAGCAGUCACAUGCUCAUUUCAUCAUGGAAAAAUCUUGGGAUCUCUGGGAACAUUUCUGAGCUUUCAAACGUGCCGAGCCUAUUUAGAAGCCAGCCCCAUUUGAAAACUUACACAGUAUUUAAGUCUUGAUAUUUCUUGUUCUUCUCUGGAAGCUACCGUUUCAGACCAAAUUCAUUUUCCACAAGAAAACUCAAAAAUAAUCCUUUCCCCUUCUAGGUUCCUUUUAUAAUCCUAGUUUAGCUUAUUGGAGCCCCUGGAUGGUACAAAUGGUUAACGUGCUUGGCUGCUAACUGAAAGGCUGGCAGUUCGAUUCUACCCCGCGGCACUUGGAAAAAAGGCCUAUCGAUCUACUACCAAAAAAUCAGCCAUUAAAAACCCUAUGGAGCACAGUUCUACUCUGACACGCAAGGGGUUGCCAUGAGUUGGAGCCGACCUGACAACAACUGUUUUUCUUCUAGGUCCUUUCACAAUCCUAGCUUAGCUCAUUGAUUGUAAAGGGGACUGGAAUUCCAGAAGCUCAUUGUUGACCAACUGGUCCCAUGUUGCGUAGUUCUGGGUCACCAAAGGACUUUGGCCAAGAAACAUCAGCUUCUGUGUGCGUGUUGAAGGAGUGAAGUUUGGACAUCAUGGUUACUUUUCCCUCAUGUUGCUAGUGGUGUUUCUGAAGUCUUGUAACAUUUCUUUAGUUUAUGUUGAUGUUAAAACAAGCUUCCCUUUCUUUUCUACAAAUGAACAAAUAAACCAAGAUUUGUAGGGAUGGUUUGAGGGUCAGCCUGGCAAAGGUGUCACAAAGGCACAGCGUGCUUGGUGUCCUCCCCUCCCCAUUUUCUCCCGCACUGCCUUUCUUUGUUGGCCUUCAGUCUCAUCCUCUUGUCCCCUGCUUACUGAAAGUAUGAAUCCCUUACUUGAUAAGUCCUUUCGGUGUGCCUUUCUCCGGAGGUGAUCUGCAUUUUAAAUGAGCAACUCCUGAACACCCUAAGCUUUCAAAACCCAAAGAACUCAUCACCCAACGCAAGAAUAGAGCCAAGAAUUUCUACUUGGACUGGUUAGGUUGCCUAGUCUACUUUGCGAAUUCAAAUAACCAGGGCUGAUAGUAUGCCUGGCUCUAGGUCCACAGGCACCUCCUACAUUGCUGCGUGUCUGUUUGUGUGUAAGUCUGAUGUGAUGCAGGUGUCUUCUCUAGCACAGGUUGACAUGCCACUCAAAGGUAUUUAUUUUAAGUGGAGGCUGAUUAAGGUUCUUGGUGCCAUCUCUCUGCCACCUCCCCCUGCCCCCAGAGCUAUGUUUACCAGCUCUCAGAUUAAAAUAACAGCUCUAUGUGCUUUAAAGCUUUUGCCCUCUCCUCCCAUUCUUCAAUUUCAUAAAUGCGCGUACUUCCAGAGAACCCACCGGAGCCCACAACCCACCCACGUGCUUUUCAGUACCCUAAUGACUUCCCGUCAGCUCCAGCCAUUGAGGACUCAGAGCGGUGACCCUCAGAUAAAAGGCUUCACUUGGCAUGACUCAUCCUUGGAGACAUCCAGCCAGCUUGGCGUGUGUUGUUAAGUGCCUGGUUCCUGUAAAUAUUGACAGUUAGAAACCAUCCCAAGAGCUACCAAGUGAUGGGGUGGAAGGUAAUGCAUAGGAAGCUGUCUAAUGAUUAGGCAAUGCUCAGAUUCAGCCCUUGAUAAAGAUCACCUCAGUAUCUCUCUAUUUAACAGUGGCUCACAUGUGACUCAUGGUUGAUAUUUUAUGGGGUUUGAUUCAGCAAGGAAAGUUUGGUCUGCCGAAACACAGAAUGACAUCCAAGGCUACUUCAGGUUCUAGGAUACUGGCUUCUUAACAAGUGUGGCUUUGCCAAGAAGGAAGAGCUAAAAGGGAGUCUUCCUCAUUAAACUCAAGAGGAUAUGGAGGGAUAAAGAACAGAAUAGGGCUUCUCACCAUUCAGAGUCCAUGUGUUAAACCUACGUAUCUUUGUAUCCCUGUAGGCUUUCUGUUACAGCUCAUUCACAGACACUCGUAGCUCUGCAAGGGGUGCCUUCUCUCUGUUCAAGCCAGCACUCAGGCUUGUUGGCUCUACCCUGAGAGAAGGGAUGAGAAUAAAUCUCUGCCCAAGCAGAAACUAGUUUUACCUUCUUGCCCUCCCUUUCUAACGACUUAAAAUAAAUUUAUCAUUGUCCAAGUGUCUACCAAAGCUUUCCUAUGUGCUUGGCUCUUUGGUUUAUUGAGCGUUGUUACCGUGCAGUAGCUUCCCAUUUGAAUCACAAUCCUCUUUCAAAGUGUGUGGACGUGGAGUUGAUUUUGAAUGGCCCUUGUUUAUUUCCUACGUUUGCUCUGGGCUGAGGGUCUGUCCUGCCGAAUCAGAGAUAAGCUAUUCAAUAGGCAGUUUUUGAGCAUGGGCCUUUGGUGGACUGGUGUGCUGGCUGAAAGUGCUGCCCUGGCCUGAGGGUGUGCAAGCACACACACACACGCACCCUAUACAUACCACAUACACAUGCACUCAACACAUACCACAUACGCACACAUCACACAUACACCAUACCCUACACACACACACGUCACACACACCACAUACGCACACUCGCACACCACACACACACAUACACCACAAACACAUACCACACCCCCCCCACCCCCUCUACACCGCACGCACAGUCAGCUCUCUGCACCUCUGCACAAUGCACUCGGCGUGUACUUUGAGCUGCCCUGGAAUGCGAGGCAGGCUCUGCCUGUGCUGACCCGCCAGUGUUUUGUUUUAUUGUGCAUGGGGUCACCAUGAGUUGGUGGCCAAAUCCAUGGCAGCUAACAAACAAAACAAACAUUGUUAUAUUGAUUAUUACUAUGCCAAGCUCCAGUUUGCACUUAUGCUAGAGAAGUCUGUUCUUUUCCAAACUAAAACUUUUUUUGCCAGCAGUCCCCUCCUUACCUCUCCCUUCCACCCCAGAAAGUUUAGCUCCUUUUUACAUUCUUUGUUUUCUAAACUAAUGAAUUUCUCUUAUUCAGCCACAUAUUCAAUCACCUACCCAGCACUUAUAUUCGAUAUCUACUCUGAGCUAUGGAGUCCCUUGGCUGUGCAAGUGGUUAAUGGACUUGGCUGCCAACUGAAAGGUUGGCAGUUCAGGUCCAUCCAGACAAGCCUCAGAAGAAAGGCCUGGUGAUCUGCUUCCGCCACUGAAAACCCUACGGAGCGCAGUUCGACUCUGACACACAUGGGGUCACCAUGAAUUGGAGUCGACUCAAAGACAACUGGUGGUGCUGGUGCCGAUGAAUGUGCUCAUGAGUGCUUCCUGUCUCUAAGGCCCUUUGAUGCCCUUACUGACCAGAUCUAAAGAGCGACGAGAGGAGCCACCACAUCCUGGACAGAGUAAAUCAGCCACACGUGUCUCCGCGGGCUACCUUCUACCCUACCCAGUUUGGAACCGAGCUUACAACUGGCUCCUCGGGACCUGAAGUGAGGUCUGGGACCAAUUUCUGCUUUUAAAGAAUUGCCUGGACACAGAAUGAGAGUCAAGUCACUCCAGAAAACAGGUAAUCCUGCCGGGGCUCUCUGGCCGUUGAGAGGCACAGAGGAAGCGCCUGUCCACCAACACUCACUGGCUGGAUCCUGCCCCUGAGUGUCCAUCUCUGCCGUUGAUGAAACAGGGGGGCAGAAGAAAGCAAUUUCAAAGGGGAAACAAACAUACUGCAGGGUCAGGCUAUACGCACUUACCCAGCCUUGGAAUUCUUAUUCUAGAUAGUUCUGUGUUAACAUGGGGCAGCUGUUGCUGUCUUUGAUGAGCAGGGAAAAACAACUGCGGAGUGAGAGGAACACUAGGGCCAGCAGCCCGGCUGGGUCCCCUGGAUAUGGAUACAGUGGCAGGGGGAGGGGCACGCCCUCAGGAUACUAUUUCAGGCCCAUCCGGAGAGAAGAAUGUGUUCUCUGCCACAGGAAGAAUGUUCCCUCAGACAGAACUGCUAAGGGCAAGAUGAAGGAGCAUACAGGCAGUGGUGGCUGCUGUUUGCUUUCCCUCUCCCUUCUGUGACUCACGUAUAUUUUUGUCCUCCUAAUUUAGUGGAGUCUCUCAGCGAAGUGGCCUUCACUGUUGAAAAUGUGGGGAUUUUCUGAGCCUGUGAGCUAUGCUGCAAAACUGUGAGCAAUUUUCCAGAGCGGGCCCUGUGUCAUCUGUCUCCUAGACAUGAGGAGGGAGGAGCAGGAGGAGGGCUCAGAUGGGGGAAGGAGAGAGGGGAGGAAAAGAAGGAGCAAAAGGAGAGAGAGAGAAACAUCUUGCUGACGUCAAAGAAGACCACACUCCACAGGAUAACAUUACUUGGUACCUCAACCACCCACUCCCUCUAAUUUACUAGAAACCAAACAGCCGGUUUUGAAACCCGUAGCCUGCAGUGUUUUUUGGUGUGUGUUUUUUUACUAUUCUCCCUUGACCAAAAGGGUCAUUAAUUGUUGGGAGUUUGAAAGCUACCUGAUUCCCCGAAGCUGAGGGAAUUUCCACGAGUAAUAAUUCAGUCGGUGCUGGUGGAGGGCGCUGGGCCUAGCGUAAAUUGAUCCAGCUGCUCGCAAAGCUGGAUGGAAAAGUGCCCAGGGGGGGAGGAAGGCAUUUGCAGGCGUGUCACGUGGCUGUCUGUCCUGCCCAGGCUCGCACUCUUCCCCGCCAGGCCACAGCCUAUAGCCCAGUUGACUCACAGGGUGAAGAAAACCCACUGGCACAUGUCGCAACCCCUUUCUUGGGAAACAUGGGACUCCUGAGGACAAGGGCCAGCCCGGUUUUCUAAGCCCCCUCCUGAGGGUCACCCUCAGCGCCCCGGCAGGUUUGAGUUUGCUUCUCGGCAGCUUUCCCCUGUUCUGCUGUCUGCACACACAAGGCAUAUAGACAAAUAAAAUCAGAGCUGGCAGCGUUAACCUGUAACCCGGGGCUACAGAAAUCCUGAUCCCACUGCCCAGAUGGCAGGGUUCAGGGUUCAGUCUGUUUGCAGGCCAAGGCCGCACAAGUUAAUUUUUAUCCUAGUAAAAAAUAAUAAACACUGCAUUAACGGCUAAAUGAUUAUCAAUUUGCAGUUCGUUUCCAACCAGAUCAUUUCGCUCCUGCGUGUUUUUACUGCUCGCUGACGCACUGGAGUGCUUUUCAUGAAACCAUAUGCGGCUAUUUAAGCCCUAGCCUGUGUAGCGUUUAUACGGUGCUUUUCACCUUAAUUGGAUAAGAUGAUUUGGCUACUUCAGCCAUGACCCUGAAGUACCACAUUUUAAUGAUGAAGAAGCUGCAGUGAAGGAAUUUUAAAUGACUUCAUAGGGAUCGCUCCGAAGUUCAGAGAUGAUGCUGAACCAGGAUUCCUGAGUUACUGUUUGGCUUUGAGGUGCAGCACAAGCCUGUAUGUGUUACACCAGUGCCUGGGUAGGCUCUUUGUGUUGUGAUUCUCUUCCUUACCUUAUGGUGCAUUAAUGCCAUAGGAGGUGGCAGAGAAGAACUCUCAAGUGGAGUUAGAAACUGAGUAGGAAGAUGUUGUAUAAACCGACACAAGCGAUGAUAGCACAUAAAGAGUAUCAUUGAAGGGCGAGUACAUUCAGCUGCUGGUAUAACCAGGCCUUUCUGCAAAUGCUCUGGCUGUUUAUUUGUCUUAGCUGAAUUAGAGCAACCGUUUGGUGGUGUUGCCUAUUGUUUAUCACCAGACUGUUACAGCCAGAAACGAUGAUUCAGCGGUGACAAAAAGAAGCUAUGUCUAUACAGUGAAUCAGGCAGAUGCUAAACCCUCCUCCCAGCCUCAUCAAAAAAUCCAAAUCUGUUGCGUCGAUUCAGACUCAUAGCAACCCUAUAGGACAGAGAUGAACUGCCCCAUAGGGUUUCCACGGAGGGGCUGGUAGAUUUGAACUGCUAACCUUUUGGUAAGCAACCGUAGCAUUUAACCACUAUGUCAGCAGGGUUUCCAAGCGUCAUUGUUCUCCUUAAUUUAAGUAUGUGAUAGAAACCUUGUCAGUGGACUCAGGCGGACUAAUGAUCAUGAAGAUGGUGCAGGGCUGGACAACACUGCCAUGAUUUGGAGCUGACUAAACAGCAACUAACUAGCUAAAGACAACAGCAAUGAACCAAAGUAAACCCAAACCAGUUGCCUGGAGUCGAUUCCAACUCAUGGCAACCCCAUGUGUGUCACAGUAGAACUGUGUUCCAUAGUGUUUUCGAGGCUGUGACCUUUUGGAAGCAGAUCACCAGGUCUUUCUUCCAAGGCUUCUCUGGGGGUACUCAAACCUUCAACCUUUCAGUUAGCAGUCAAGUACUUAACUCUUUGCACCAAUAUUAACAUUGCCACAGGACACCCUGGUGGCAUAGUGGUUAAGUGCUAUGGCUGCUAACCAAAAGGUCAGCAGUUCAAGCCUACCGGGUGCUCCUUGGAAACUCUAUUGGGCAGUUUUACUCUGUCCCAUAGACUUGCUAUGAGUCGGAAUCAACUUGACGGCAACAGGUUUGGUUUUAAUAUUGCUAUGUGGUUAAGGGUGGCAGGCAAUGGGCUAAAGGUGCCAUGCAUGCAACCCCAAAUACAAGGGAAUGACCCAUUUCCCAAUGUACAGGUUAAAACUUUUUUUUUUUGGCUUGCUUGAGUAUAUUAACUUCUAAUGAUGUAAGUAAUGAAAUUUUUAAAUUUCUAGCUAUAAAAUUUAAUUUGUUGAUUUAAUUACAUGUAUAUUUAAAAUUACGCAUGUGAAUAUACUUAUUUAGAAACACCACCUUUUUAUACUUGUUAGACCCUUUCUCAUCACUUGUUUUUGUCAUCACUUGAGCCACUUUUUGAGUUAAAUAAUCUAGUCUUCCAGAACACAUCAUUUCUGCUUCUGCCAAGUUUCUUUGAGAUUUAGUAAUUUCUGAAUCUAUAUGCUGUGGUCACUGGAAGUGUUAUCUAAGCCUCAAUAUCAUGCACUACUUGCAACUUCCACAAAGUUAGCCUCUUCCUGCACUGCCUUUAAAAGCGAGCUUAGUGAGUGAGGUCGUGACUGUGUAAGAAAAUCUUCACGCGUGUUAGAGAUGCAUACUAAAUUAUGAAGGGAUGUGUCAUGGAUUGAACUGUGUCCCCCCCAAAAUAUAUGUCAACUUGGUUAGGCCAUGAUUCCCAGUAUUGUGUGAUUGUCCCCCAUUUUGUGAUUGUAAUUUUAUGUUAAAGAGGAUUAAGGUGGGAUCGUAACACCCUUGCUAAGGUCACAUCCCUGAUCCAAUGUAAAGGGAGUUUCCCUGGAGUGUGGACUGCACCAUCUUUUCUCUUGUGAGAGAUAAAAGGAAAGCAAGCAGACAUGGGGGACCUCCUUCACCAAGAAAGAAGUACUGGGAGCAGAGCGCAUCCUUUGGACCUGGGGUUCCUGUGUGGAGAAGCUCCUAGUCUGGGGGAAGAUUGAUGGGAAGAACCUUCCUCCAGAGCCAACAGAGAAAGCCUUCACCUGGCGCUGAUGCUCUGAAUUUGGACUUGUAACCUACUAGACUGUGAGAGAAUAAAUUCCCCUUUGUUAAAGCCAUCUACUUGCGGUAUUUCUGUUACAGCAGCACUAGAUGACUAAGACAGGGUGAGAUACAUGAAGUCUAGAAUUUUCUUUAAAACAUUUCAGCAAAGGAAAAAAGGCACAAAAGAGUCAGGUGAAGCAAAUGUAGAAAAAUCUGAAUAAUCAUUGAUCUGGAUGAUGGGUAUGGAGGUUCAUUGUAUAAUAUGCUCUUUUUUUAGUAUAUUUGAAAAAAAAUAAUAAAAAUAUUUUUACAUGAGCUUUAAAGACUUGCUUAUAAUAAUAUCUAAUGCUUGCAAUUGGAGGCCAUACCUUCAAGAAUAACUACAAGCUCUCCAACUAGCAUUCAUUAAAUUCCUUUCAGGCUAUAUUGUCGUUCAAAAUAAAGAAUUGAGAUAGCACCCUAAAACGUGCGAAGCUUUUUAUGGACACAAAUAUAAAGUGGUGUUUUUUGUUUUUUUUUUUUUCCCGGGGGAUGAUUUAAAGCCUUAUAUUUGCCCAUAUAUGUUAUUUUCCUCUAUGCUUUGCUGGUCUGAGUAGACAAGGUUGGUAAUGAUCCCGAAUGGUCAGCUUCCUUGGUUUUGGUUUUGUAAAUGUUGAAAAGACCUAGUUCCAUGUUCUUUGUCUAAAAGUGUCCUUAUCUAGUGCCCUCAUUAGCACUGGAGCUGGGAGGCCCAGGAUAGCAGGGAACAUGUACCCAUAGUCCUGGCAGUGGGCCUGGUGGCACAGGCCUGGGGAUGGGGUGUCAGUGUGGCAUGAGAGGGGAGAGCCAACCUUUUCUUCAUUGGACAGUACUCAUCCCCUGGAGAGAGCGCACAAACCCGGGUGUACCCGGCCAGUGCCAGAGGGCGAUCGAGCAAUAACCCAGCAAAUUUGGUCUAGGCUGGUCAAGAGUGUUCAGGCUUGAGAGUCCUACAUUACUCCUGUUUAAACUGAUCAGAAAACUUCAAUAUUUGCUUGGUGUUGGUUUUGUGGCAAUGGCUUUUCCAGAGAAGGAAAGAAAAAGAUACUAUUAAAAAAAAAUGGGACGCUUUUCCUACAAACAUAGUAAAUUAUUUGCCAACAAGUAUAAACAGUCCUCCAAGGAUUAAAACAAAAUUUACUAGGACUCUGUGGGGAGUCUGGACUUCUCUGUGAUUCUUUAACGUGAUGGUAUUUUUCCCCCCAAGAUGUAUUUAUUUCACUCUGCCACAGUACAGUGUCAUGAUCUUUAGCGAGAUUUACUUCAGACACGUUUUGGUAUCCCAUCAUUCACACCUAACAUAUCAUAAAAGAAUUUUUAAUAUUUUGAAAAAAACCCCCUCAGCCAUAAAAAUCACAGCACAAUCGCUUUCCGGUGUCUACCUCAACAUUUCAGAGCUAGCAGAUUUAUUGAAACGCAGAAAAAUAAGAUAAACAAAGUACUAGUGGGCUCGAAUUGAGAAAGCAGGUCCUUCUGGGAAGAUGUGUUUUUUUGAUGAACUCUGUUAAUUCUAACCCAAAAAGACGGAAAAGUGUGAGGUUAGGUAAGCGUCUGCUAGAUUCAUUACUGCCAUGUGGAUUCUGUGAAGUGAGCUUAGAGAUCACUGGUGGUAGCUGCGGAAUAAAGUUCACUGGUUGUUUAUCUUCACUCUGAUUGGGCGGUUACUGAAAACAGAACCUGAACUACCUUCCAGAAGCUCUCUGUUCACUUCAGGUCUGCCUAUGAGGGUGGACGCUUCUAGCAAGGGAGCACAUGAUGAAUUCUGCAGGCAUGUAUUGAGCAACACGAAGUGGCCACUGGCCAGGGUAGAAGUUAAACCAGAAGAUGGCUAUCAAAUGUAGUUGUUAGGUUUGGCACAACUUUUUUGAGCUGCUGUGCUGAGCAGGAAAAAAGAGACGCUUGUUUGUGGAUUUAGCUCAUCAGUUCUAGAAUGCACUCUUUAAUCUGAAUUUUUUUAUUUGCUCAAGAGAAAAACAAGUCUGCUUUGCCUUCCACCGAGGAUUUUAGACUGAAUAUUUUGCAUCUUUCACCCAUGCCCCUGUACAGUCCUCUGCCCACAUGUCUCUACAUUUAUUUUCUGGCGAUCUGGGCAGCACCCUCAUUAGGUGGUUUGGAAUACCUUUUGGUAAUAUGUUAAAUUUUCCAAUAGAUUUUUUGCAUGGCCUAUGAGAAGUAUAGCAGUUCCUUAUGAAUUAAGAUGAUUUCUUACACUGUAUUUACAGACAAGUGUAUGCAUUUGCGUAAAAAAUAGUCUGGCUAUUAAGAAAAACUUCUGGGAUAAAAAAAUCAUUUCUGUUGAAUUUGCUUUGGUGUGGUUGUUCUACUCAAGGUCAGUGAAUACAUGGUGUUUGGAUGGUGUCUGGCACAAAUACUUUAACCAAAAAGCUUAAUGUAUAACUAGUAUUUUUUUCUUCUGUGUCAGCAGUUGGCAGUAAGAUACUGUAAAUAAGGAUUCCUGAGAGUAAAUAGGUGUAUGUGUAGCGAGGGGAGGGGAAGGCUGGAGUAAGCAGUUUUGAAAUGUAUGUCAGUGGUUGCUUCAAGCGAUAAGAUAAUUUGAGUAACCUGUAAGACCUGUGGAUUCAUAGAUUUCAAAAACAGGAAAGUCUCUUGUUUAAAAACCCUCUAAAGCAACAUGUGGGCUUAGAAAAGAAGCUGGCUUGUGGUUUGGUGAUUGUACUUCCUUAUUGAUAUAAUGGGCGGGUGAUGCAAGGCCUCAUGGGAUUGCAGCGUGGUAACCGCAGGCCCAACAGUUAGCCUGACAGGGUUCUGAAACAGACCCGGGGCUUUCUGGACAGAUGAGAAAUCUAAAAAUUUCCCUUUUCAUUUCCUCUCUUGUGUGACUUUGUCAUUUUUUAAAAAACGGGUAAUAGAAAAGGGAAUUUUGCCCAUGCUUUUAAGGAGUUUAUCUUGACUGAGUAGCUUCCCUCCCACUCCCCAAAAAUCCCACCCUGAAAACCCCAAGGUAAAAAAAAACAUCUAUUCUUGCUAAUUUUUCUGUGUAUCGAUGUUCGAUUAAUCCUCUCCAAGGCUAGAUUCACAACGAGCACAUCUUUUAAAAUCGUAUGAUUAAAAAAAAAAAACCCUGAGACUUUUCCACAUGCCUGGUCUUCUGGGAGUUUUAAAGUGCAGGUGAAUACCAUGUCCUCCUGGAAACCUAACUUUCUCUUAACCAAUUGGUAGGGCUUUUUAAUAGGCAAGGGCUUCCAGUACCUAAGGUCAUGUUUUGAAAUAAAUGAAAACAGAGACCAUUUCUGUGUGACAUGGCUAACUGACCACAGGACAGAAAGUUCCGUUGGUUAGGUAUGUGAGGGCUGUCUUAAGCCUUGAAAACAUUCUGUAUCAGAGCUAAACAUUGAAACAGGGCUCCUGCUCCUCCUGACUGCCCUUCAGCCACCUGCUUCUCUUGCUUUCCUUCCACAAGAGAAGGAGGGCAAAUUCCUCCCAGAGUCAUCUUGGCUAUAUUCCUUGCUAUACUUUUUAUGUCUGCAUGUGUGUGAUUUUCAGUUACCUCAGAGAAGACGGCAUCUGGAAGAAGUGUCCACGUGCUAUAGCAGAUUACCAGUCAAACAUGCUGACUCUCGCCAGUGAGCCCAUCUUGCCCAUUCCCCUGCCAUGGCCUGGUGAUCUGCAACUGAAAACCAAGGUCCAGGAUGAUUGCAUACUAGAGUUUCCUGCUCUUUUUUUCUUUUGGUAAACCUGAUAAAUCUGCCCUAGUCACGUCACUAAGGCCACAAAGAAACAUAAUCCUGCCAAGUGUGGGAGCUAACAAGAACUGCCAAAAUCUUAAGGUUUCAGCGAGAGAAAGGGCCCUUUCUGGGUCAUGCUUGUGUGUGUGCUGUGUAUGCAUGGGUACCCUGUGAAUAUAUUGUGUGUGCUGUAUAUGUGUAUGUGUACGUGUGUACUGUACAUGUGUACUGUGUGUAUACUUUGUGUACUAUGUGUGUGUACUGCGUGCCUACUCUGUGUGUGCAUACAGUGUGUGUACAUGGGUACUGUGCAUAUACUGUGUGAUGUGUAUACUGUGUGUAUACUAUGUGUGUGUACUGUGUGUGCACGGGUACUACGUGUAUAUACUAAGUGUACAUGUAUUACUGUAGUGUAUGUGAACGUGAAUUAUAUAUGUAUAUACUGUUUGUGUAUGUGUGUACUGAACAUAGUACGCACACAUAGUACACAUAGUAUACAGAAUCAGAAUAGACUUGAUGGCAGUGGGUUUUGUUGGUUCGGUACUAUGUUCAUGCAUGGGUUCCAUGUAUAUAUAUGGUGUGUGUACUGUACGUGCGUCCUAUGUGUCUACUCUGUGUAUACUGUGUAUGUGCAUGGGUACCAUGUGCAUAUACUACCCAUAUGUAUGUAAUUUGUAUGUGUGUAUACUGUGUGUACUGUGUGUGUACAUGGGUACCGUAUGUAUAUGCCGUGUGUAUAUGUGUGUACUGUGUUCAUACUUGGGUUCCAUGUGUAUAGAUUCUGUAUACACUGUGCGCAUAUGUAAUGUAUACGCACGAGUACUGUAUGUGUGUAUUCUUGUGUGUAAAUGAGUAUUGUGCAUGCAUACCGUGAGUGAGCAUGGGUACUACAUGUCAAUACUGUGUACAUGUGCCAUGUGCCUAUGCACUGUGUGUGUACAUGAGUACUGUGUGUCACGUGUAUUGUAUGUGUGUGAGUGCACACACACUUGUAUAUUGUGUGUGACACACUGGAAUGUCACAGAUCCAUGGGGGAGGCCAUGGCAGGGACGGGGCUGGUGUGAGGAGGUUGUGCUUGGAACAGGUAAAUUACUUAAGUACAAAGCGCUUUUCAUCUGAUUGGCUGCCCCUUCUCUUUGAGGCAUCAAGCACUGGGAUUGCAGAAACCCUAAACAUAGGCAAAAUGUAUAUUACAUUUCUCCUCUUGACUGCCUCUUGAAUGAAUUCUUUCUAAGUAUCUUUUUUUCUUCAGCCUCAAGAAAAAGGAGAGUCUUGGAAUUGAGAAGAUGGAGCAACGAUUCAACAUCAGACUGUUCUUUUUUAGCUGUCUGUGUAUUUCUUGUGUAUCCAAAUGACCGUGAGAAAAAGGAAAAGCAGGGAAUCAUCUUGGAAAGAUAGUAUGAAUUUUUACUUAUAAAUAAAACUUACAUUGCCACUGAGUGCACAAGACUCGGAGUAUGCCCCAAUUUCCUGCCUCUAACCUCACAGUAAGUGCUGACCCACUUCUGGCUAUUUUUAUUUGUUUUUUCUUGAAAAUGUUCACCGUGUGAUUAAGAGUUGACUCUUGUCAACUUUGUUCUUAUCCUCUCUGCCAUCUGAGUCCAAAAGUGCAGCCCUUCCCGUCUGCACCCAAUAAUUGCGGGUGAGUACAAAUGGCCAGGUUGUACUGGUGAUGUGACGCAUGACUGACUGCUUUCCUCACAAUCAAAGACAAAAGGAUAAGCGGCUGCUACCUGAAUGCAGAACUUUGUAUCCCCUUUGCAGCACUUUUUGUCAGAUUUUUCUCUUGGAUGCAUGCAGACCUCACUGAAGAUACCACCUGUCCCUCUCACAAGGCCCCUGGGGUGCGCACGGGGGAUGGGCUCUUACCCCAGCUUUGCAGAGCAAAGCUUCAAAAAAUCCAGGGCAGAAAGUGGGCAGUCACUUAUCUAAGAUUACAACCUAAGUCAACAGUGGGACCAGGAAGUGACCUCGGGGCCAGGCGUCAUACGGAAAACUGGGUCUAUUUAUUUUUCUCUUAAGGCAAACUUUGAUUUACUCUUAAUAAGUUACCACCAAGGAUAUAGGUCUGGAGAAAUUUGACUUGGCAUCCAAAUCUAAGUCAUAUAUUGAUAAAGGAGGAGAGGAACAACGAGUCUUGUGCAUUUUUCCAGCUUUAUCAUUAACUCCAAGUUUGGAAAUGUGUUUGCUUUCAGGAGCGUCCAUUUCCUAGUCUUUAUGAAGGCAAUUAUUCUCCAUUGGUGAGGUAUUUUGACACCCUUAGUUAAAAGGCCUUAUAACGAGGGUGGCUCGACACACUGUGGAGCCCCCUGGAGAGGUUGUAUAAUGAAAUGAAGAGCAACCUUGACUUCAGACAGACUGUGCCACCCGAGGAAGUUACUUACCUUCUGUGGCCUCGAUUUCUUUGUCUGUAAAAUGAGGGUGAAUGGUGUCUCCCUCAUAAGGUUGUUGUAGGAUUCCGUAAGAAGAUGCAUGUGAAGGGCUGGAUGGUAGCUUGGCUUGUAAUAUACACUCAGUCUUCCAAACUAUUAGGUUUAUUCAUCAUUUAUGUAAUUUUUAUUGUGUGGAAUAAAAUUUCUGUUUUCCUUUUCCAGAAGUUUCUCCAGGAAGUCACCUGCACAAGGAGAAGUAUAAUUCAUUCUCUGUCGGCUUUUCCUACUUGUUGUUUCCAUGAGUGGAUGGGGCUGCCCUUCAGGUACUUGAUAGAGUAAAAGAAUGUUCUUGCCUCACUGCUGAUAGGAAUGAGACCCUGGGAGUGACCAGGGUGAAGGUUUCCUUUCCUUCCUGCUGAUAACACUUCCUCAUUAAAUGCAGCUCUUUGCAAAAAAGAAUAAAAACAAAACAACAACAACAAAAUAGCACAAGAAGAAAAAUGAGUCACCUGCAACUCUUCUUGUGUGCCUGUGGUGAUCUUUGGGGACUGGCUAUUUCUUUCUUGUCCAAAGGCCCAAUAAUCAGUCCAGAGAGAGGAAGAUCACUCUCCUCUGGAGUUUCAAUGGGUCUCUCUCCCAGGUGCUCCUGUAGAAGAGAUGUGAGCAAGGGCGCAAAUCACCUUUUGUGGUAAGAGCAUCAAAGGCAAGACAAAGGGUCAGCCAGGAGGCUCAUGAAGAUGCCGCACUGUAUAAACAGUACCUAGAGCAGUGGGGUGGUCUGCCCACACUGGCAAUGUGGACCUCAUUGUCUGUUGUUGUUAGGUGCCAUCAAGUCAGUUCCAACUCAUAGUGACCCCGUGUACAACAGAAAGAAACACUGCUGAUCCCGCACCAUCCUCACAAUCGUUGCUAUGCUUGAGCCCAUUGUUGGGCCACUGUGUCAAUUCAUCUCGUCAAGGGUCUUCCUCUCUUCUGCUGACCCUCAGCUUUACCAAGGAUGAUGUCCUUCUCCAGGGACUGGUCCCUCUUGAUAACAUGUCCAAAGUAUGUGAGCUGAAGUCUCACCAUCUUUCCUUCCAAGGAGUACUCUGGGUGUACUUCUUCCAAGACAGAUUUGUUUGUUCUUUUGGCAGUCCAUGGUAUAUUCAAUAUUCUUCACCAGCACCAUAAUUAAAAGGCAUCAAAGAAACUAGAGACAUGUCUUUCCACUUCCCAGCAAAGGAAGGUGGAGAAGAUGGGUGAUCUCAAAGCCUGGGGUGGAGGCCAAAAGAGUCAACUGAGAGAGGGAGAAAGAAAGUUCCGUGGUCUGGUGAGAUGCGUGCAGCUGGCUCUACCUCCCUCCCAGGGUCUGAGAGCAGAGAUCAUGAGGAGGCUGGGCUGGGCUAGGGGGUCGUACUUUGGAGAGAAUCUGGUAAGCAGAUCUUAUGGUCAAGCGGGCAGGACUGGAGGCCAAGGGCACCACAGAGAACACAGGACCUCUGCGUGAAAAGACACUUUCCCUUCAGUCCAGACCCACUACUCUGCCAUGCUUCUGCUAUUUCUGGUGAAAAUAUCUCUAGAGACUCACUGCUCACCAACAGGGCAGGUUCAUUUAACCAUCACGACCACCUGGUGAAGUGGACAGAAUUAUGCCCAUUUAACAGAUGAGGCCACCAUCCGUCUGUCAGCGUGUUAACUGUGGUGGCUUGCAUGUUGCUGUGAUGAUGGAAGCUAUGCCACUGAUAGCUCAAAUAGGGGCAGGGUCACCCAUGGUGGGCAGGUUUCGGUGAAGCUUCAAGACUGAGACGGACUAGGAAGAAAGGCCUGGUGACCUACAUCUGAAGAUUAGCCAAUGAAAAUAUCGUAGAUCACAACAGAAUAUUGUUCGAUAUAGUGCUAGAAGAUGAGCCUCUAGUUUGGAAGUCACUCAAAAUACACAGUGGCCGCAACAAUGGACUCCAGCAUAUCAAUGACCGUGAAGAUGGCCCAGACCAGGCAAUGUAUCAUUCUGUUGUAAAUGAGGUCAUCAUGUGUGCCAACCUGAUGGCAACGAACAACACCACCACCACAUAGGAAUUGAGGCUCAGAAAAGUGCAGGAGCCUCCCCGAUAUUACCCAGUUGGUAAGCAGUGGGCCUAGGAUUAUUUGGGCUCCAGGGUCUGCCCCCUGACACUGCCUCACUGCUCUCAAAGACUGAGAAGGCCCCCUCAGCAGUAAGCAUGUCUUUCUACUGCUUUGCGCUGUGGGGGAGACCAUUUGGGGAGGAACACAUGAGCUCCCCCGAAGCUCAGUAGGUGAGCACAUCGCAGUUCAGCGCCAUCCUGGGGCGUCACCUUUGGGAGGCCUUGAAGGGUGCUGUGUCAGACAGCACACUCCUCAGCUGAAAGGGGCCACUUCCAGCGGGGCUGGCUCUCCCUGUGUGCUAGGACUCCCGCAGGCCUGCGGAGCUGAUUUUUAGAUGGCAGUUUGCUUUUCAGGUGGCCCUGGAGGCAGAGUUCUUCACUGGAUUCCUGGAAGAGGCCUCACUCAGCAGAUGCCUGGGGCUGGGACUGGCAGAUUGAAGCACCUCCUAGCUGUGAUGGCUUUUAAGUUGUAGACACUCGGAGAUAGACUCUCACAACACCUCUUUGCUCAGAAUGUUCUUUCUCUCCCCACCUGCUCCUCGACUUCUUAGGGCUCAAGCAUAGAGGGAGCGUCAGAAAACUAGGAAAACAUCUGAGUGACAGGACAGUCCCUUGUUCUAAUGGAUUCAUCACACCCUUCUUCCCAACCCCCCAGGCACAGCUGCUACACCCAGAGCUCCUGGUACCCCUGCACAGCAGGGCAGAUCCUAACUACUGAUUUGUAUGGGCUCCAUUCGGUGGCUGUGUGUCAUAGGGCUGCAGCCCUGGGGGAGGCGGAUGAGCCAGGACACAGUAGGCCUCAGAUUAGAAAUGUGUAAAUAGAGCGGUUUGCCCUAGUCCUUGCCUCCCUUGAAGCCUGAAUUCCACAAGCCAGCCAGUUGCUCACUGUGCUGAUUCAGACUCAUGGCGACCCUAUGUAUGUCAGAAUAGAACUGUGCUCCAUAGGGUUUUCAAUGGCUGAUUUUUUGCAAGUCGAUAGCCAGGACUUUCUUCCAAGGUACCUCUGUGUGGACUUGAACCUCCAACUUCUGGUUCGUAGCUGCAUGCAUUCACUGUUUGCAACACCCAGGGGUUCCUCUAUUACCAGAGAGGUCUCAAUUAGCGCAAGACCUGGCCUGUCGCAGUUUUUAUGUGUGCCCGGAUGUGCCUUUGUUCAGCAGAGCCGUGUUUAUCAAAGGCCGCGCCGGGCAAGGAGAGGUGUGUACCCCAGCGACUCGUACAGGAAAUUGGAAAUUGGAAACCUGGGCGCUAUCCCCACUACAUCUCUGACUCAUGCUCCAACAACCCGGCACACACCCUGACCUUUGCUCUCCCCAUCUGCAGCGCGGGGGGCACUGCCUGCCCACAGCCACCCUCCUGGGCGGCCACGUGGCCCUCCAGUGGGUCAGCUUCCUGGGGGAGAGUACUCCUCCAGCCUGGACGCUUGCGGCAUACCCAGAUUAAGAUUUCUUUUUUGUCUUCAACAAAGUGAAGUCUUAAUUUUUUUCCCCUUUAAAUUUUUAUCCAUUAUAUUCAUCAACGCACAGAGAUGGAACAUUUGGCGAAAUUAUUUUAAGUAGCACUCCAACCUGUGAUCAUAAUUUCAAAUCAAGAAAUUUGCUGAGCAGCUGUAGGGAAGAACAAAGGGCCUGGGAGUGAUUUAGGAUCCGGGGGAGGGGAAACCAGGCUGAGUUUAAGGCUUAGGGAGCCUGGCUGCCCUUCUACACCGCUCUUUCCAUCUGUUGAACACUCUAUGCAGUCGCAGCCAUAAAAAAAAAUGCAGACCAAGCAGUUGAGGUUCAGAUGAAUUGACAUUCAGUUAAAUACCAUGCGUCAGCCUGGGAAUUGGAUAGACCUGGUCUCAGAGAUACGUAGCAGCCUCAGUUGAGUCAUCUGUAAAAUGGGGCUAAUCGUAGCAACUGCUUCCUAGGGAUUAUUAUGAGGAUGCGGUAAGAGAAUAUAUAUGAAGUGUUUAUUUGGCCCAGUCACUAGCAUGCACUAAGUGUUCAAACUGUGAUUAUUACUGCCAGUGUGCAGAACUGCCAAGUUGCAAGUUCUGUCCUUGUCACAGAUUCUUUCAGCAAACAAUUAUCGAGCAUCUGUGCAGGACUGGGUGUGUUAUAGGGACACAAACACAUAAAACAUGGGUAAAUAUGCUACGAGGAAACAAAAACAAAACAGAACACAGUUCUAUUGAGUUAAAAAAAAGAAUGACUUCCAAAAAAAUUUAAUUAAUUUACAAAGACAUUUUCUUAACAGAUCAAUGAUUAGAAGCAAUUUGGAAAAAAAAAAAUGUAUAAAGUGAAGCUGUCUUGUUUCUAAUUGUUUUUUGACUCAUUGAUUUUAAACAAAACCAUCAUCGAAAUUAACUUGAUUUCUUAAAACAAGCCCCGCUUCACACUUGGAAAGCUUCAAUCGGCUAGUUUGCCCAUGAUCUGGUCCAUUUGCAACUAGUCUGGUUUGUCUAAGUGGCUUUAAAAGAGUGACACAUGUAUACUCAGAGAGGGCAUUAUUUAUCAGGGCUUAUCCAGUUCUGCUAAAUUCCAGUCUUAAGAAUUGUGGUUAGUUGCUGUCAAGUCGGCUCCGACUCCUGGCGAGUUUAUGCAUAACAGAAAAAACACUGGCCCGCUCUGCGUCAUUUUCUAAGAAUUGAAACUUAUCUAGUUCAACCUCUCACCCUUUUUACAGAGUUUAUGAGAGAAAAUCGUUGCACUUCUGCUCAAAUUCUGCCAGGAAUGGAGAGCUCACUACUUCAAAAGACAGCUGAGGGCUGGGUUGAACAGCUCUGAACGUUCAAGAUGGAAAAAUUAGGGGGAGAUUAAGCGAAUUUGCAUAGCACAUUUGAAGGACGCAAAGCCUUUGUGUUGUUUUUCCUUUCAUCUUUCUCUUCACCUCUGUAGUGUGGUCUUGUUUUGACUGCCUGUCCAUCUUCCCUGUUUGCCCCAAGCUGCCGCCUGCCCUCUGCCCUGAGGGAGCAACAAUAGCCGUGGUCACCGUUGGGUGGCCAAGCAUUCCCUGCCUUAGGAGCUGGGAGCCAACAUUCAGUUCAGUCGCUCUUGCCCUGUUCUCUGGGGAGGCUGCACCAGGCUCUGCUUCCUUAGAAAACAACAGUGAACUUUGUUCAGCCAAAACGUUAUUUCUCAAGCUUAAUAUUUGCUCACUGGCUCUCCUUCCUCCAGCUGUUCCCAACUGCUGACCACUUCUUAGGACUGUGCUAGUUGCUUCCUCUGUUCCAGCGUUUCUUGGAAGACGGCCACAAGGGGCCAAGGCAGAUGUAGCACAAGCGUUGUUGUUUGUGGCCUUGACUUCCUAGGUAUGAAUCAAGGAGUGGCUCCUUUGGAAGGAGGAGGUGUGUGUGCCUACCUUUGAAAUCAGCUGGGCUAAAAACAGAAUGAGCAGAGCAGCUCCACAAAAACCGAGCAUUGCUUUGUUUUGUUCACACUUCUGGUUGCCUACAGAAUUGUUUAAAAAAAAAAAAAAGUCAGUCGAGAGCAACUAAAGUAAAAAAAGAAAAGUGAUGAAAGGGAGAUGUUUAUUUUUCAAGCUCUUGAAUUCUGAAAAUCCUUCUUCAGACUCUUUCAUCCUUUUACAGCUCCCACUUCUAACCUGGCUCUUUAUCCUCACUGUCUCCGAUCUCACCCAAGUCCCAUGGACCACUAGGCCUUCCGACUUUCAGGACCUUAGAGCGAGUCCUUACAAUCAAGUCCUCCCUUGCUUUCCUAUUCCUCUUGUUCUUCUGCCACCCAGCCUUGUUUUACCUCAAAUCUGGUAUCUGCUGACUGGAUUGCUACCACAAAUUGCUGGAGAGAGCCAUGGACCUGGGUUGACUGGUUCCACAACAAAAUCUGAUCACCUAACCCACAGAUGUCAAUGCCCAUGAACCUCAUUUGGAACAUAAAAUGGGUUUUGUUUGGCCUAAAUGCUUUUUGAAAUAAAUUGAUCUAGUUACCAACAUUUCAAAAAGUGAAGUCACUUUGGUGACUAGACUGUGCCUGACCCAAGCUGUAGCCUUUUCAGUCACCUCAUCUGCAUGUGAAAGCUGGACAAUGAAAACAGAAGACAGAAGAUGAAUUGACUCAUUUGAAUUGUGGCGUUGGUGAAAAUAUUGGAUAUACCACGGACUUCCAGAAGAACGAACAAAUCUGUCCUAGAAGAAGUACCACCAGAAUGCACCUUAGAAGUGAAGAUGAUGAAACUUUGGCUCAUUGACUUUGGAGACAUCAUCAGGAAAGACCAACCACUAGAAAAGGACAUCACGAUCGGUAAAGUAGCGGGCGACAACACAAAAACAAAGAGUGAAACCCUCAUCUCACCUCGUUUCAGUGAUAUGGAUUGACACAAUAGGCACGACAGUGGACUCAAGCGUACCAACGAUGGUGAGGGUGAUGUGGGCCUGGGCACGGUCUCAUUCUGUUGUACCUGAGGGGGUCCUUAGUCAGAGCCGACUCAACGGCAGCUAGCAACAACUACAAUCAACGUUUGAGAAACAGGAGAUCAUACGAAAAUAUAGAUUUUUACUCUACUUGAAAAGUUGGAGAUCUGGCCUAGCGGGUCUUUCCUCACUCUGGAAUGAUGGCUUGAGAACUGAGAGGCAGCUGCCCCUCUGUCACAUGCACACAUUCCCCACGUUGUGACAGGCUUUUCAACAUUCAGAGGAUGUCUUUCUGGACGUGGAGACUGAGUAUUAGAUGCCGUUUAUCAAUGAGCUUGUGUCCCCCUCUGGGGCCUUGGCGCAGUGGUUAAGAGCUCAGGCUGUAACCAAAAAGUCAGCAGUUCAAAUCCACCAGAUGAUCCGGGAAACCGUAUGGGGCAGUUCUACUCUGUCCUAUAGGGUCGCUGUGAAUCUGAAUCGACUGGAUGGCGAAGGGUUUGCUUUUUGGUUUUGCAUCUCCCCCAACGUAUUUCAUUCGUUAAGUGCCUGACUGAUUACUCUGGGUAUUCGAGCUCGUCUCCUGCUCAAUGAAGUUUUUUCAGCAACCUUAUCUCUAGUGGACUCCUAGCCCACCACAGUCCUCACAGGGUCGUCGCAAACCCUGCCUAGGCUCUUCAUGCCCUUGAUCUCUCCAGGAGGUCUUAUGCAUUAUUGAAAAGCCUGAGACCACACAACUUGUGUUCCUCAACUUCUCAGCUUCCUUUCCUUCCUCCUUUAAACACUCCUUCUUCCCUCCCUCCCUCCCUCUUCCUUUCCUUUUUAAAACUGUAAAAUAAAACACACAGAGAAGUGCUCACAACAAAGAUGUGUAGCUCAAUGAUUUAUCACAAACUCAUCACCAGUGUCAUUACCAUCCAGGUCAAGAAAUACAGCUUUGCCUGGACUCAAGAAGCUCUCCUCAUUCUCCUUUCCAUUUCUAUACGUCCCUCCCUCCCUGCCCACCAGAGGGGCACACUAUCUGGACUUUCAUGGUAAUUACAUCCUUGAUUUUCUUUAUAGUUUUACCAUCAAAAUAUGUAUCCUUAAAUGCUAAAGUUUAGUUUUGCCUGUUUUUGCAAACUCAUAUAAAUGUAAUUACACAGUAUGUAUUCUUUCACGCACGGCUCCUUUCAUUCAACAUUAUACUUGUGAAAUUCAUCUAUGUUGUAUACAGCUGUAGUUUGUAAAUUUUCAUCACUGGUUAGUAUUACAUUCAAUGAAUAUGGCACAAUUUGCUUAUCGAUUCUACCCUUGAUAGACACCUGAGCUGUUACCAGUUCGGGGUUUUUAUGAAUGUCACUACGAUCAUUCUUGUGUUUGUACAUUGGUGCAUGUGAACAUGCAUUUCUAAGGAUAUUCACUAGGAGUGGAAUUGCCACUGGUUCAUAGGCUACGCUUACAUUCAGCUUUAAUACGUUCUACCUAUCUAUUAAAAUGAGGCCCUCGUGGUGUAGUGGUUAAAGAGCUUAGCUUCUAACCCAAAAGGUCAACAGUUGAUUCACUAGCCACUCUUUGGAAACACUAUGAGGCGGUUCUAGUCUAUCCUAUAGGGUUGCUAUGAGUGGGAACCGACUCGACGGCAAUGGGUUUGGGUAUCUAUUAAAAUGGUUUUUCAAAAUGGUUAUACCGAUUUAGAAUCUUACCAGUAGUGUUUGAAAGUUGCUUAAAAUUUUUGCCAACAUAUGUUAUUGCCAAUGUUGGAAAAUUCAGCCAUUUCAAUAUAGUAACUCCUUGUGGUUUUAUUUGGCAUUUCACUGACUAUUCUGAGGUUGGCUACCUUUUCAUAAGGUUAUUGGCUAUUUGUAGUUAGAGAAUAUAUUUUUAGUCAUUUGACACUUGCUAAGACUUGCUUUAGGGCUUAGUAUAUAAUUGAUUUUUGAAAUUAUUCCUUGUGGGCUUGAAAAGGAUGUACAGUUAGAAGCUGUGAGCUCAGUAUUCUGAAUAUGUCUAAUAGGCUAUAUAGUUGCUGAUUGUGUCGUUUGAAUCUUCUGUAUCUUUACUGACUUCUUGUCUGCUUUUACUAUCAGAUUUUGAGGAAGGUGUGUUGAAUUCCCCCAGUAAGAUAGUGGAGUGGUCUAUGUGUAGAUAUGUUGCUUCUUGGUCUAAAUAUUUUGAGAUUCCUCUUCUCAGGCAUUUCGAGGACUCUGGAACACUCUACCUCCAUUUGCUCCUCUUUCGAAUUUUACAUUAUUAUCAUCAUGUAUUUUAAUCGGCAUGUAUUUUAUAUGCACAAUUUUUUAAAUUAUCGUUUUAUGCAGUCACUGUCUUUUUAUAUUUACCUAUAUACUUGUUUUUUAUGCAUUUCUUUUCUCCCCGCACCUCUGGAAAUCUGGAAUUGUUUUCCUUCUGCCUGAACAACAGUCUUUAAUCUUUCCUUUAGUAUGCUCUUUCCUGACCUGAUUGUGACAACUAUUCUCGGUUUUGUAAAUAUCUUUAGUUCAUCUUAUUACGGAAGAAUAUUUUUGCUAGACAUAAAAUUCUAGGUUGAUACUCAUUUACCAUAUUUUUAUGCAAAUAACAUGUGCCUUCUGCAUUUGUUUGCCAGCCAUGCCCUCCCCUCCCCACCCCCAUGAAGCAUUUUCAUAAGUGCUGCUAUGCGAAUUUUUAAAAUAUUUGUUAUAAAAAAAAUUAGCAUAGCGUGCCUGUGAAAAUAUCUCCCCGAGGGGAGAACACCAUUGGUAAACAAAUGUAGAAGGUGUGCAUUAUUUGUGUAAAAUCAUGAUCCUUUUAGUGUGUUAAAGCUAUUUGUUACCUUCUAGAUUUUAUUAUUUCUGUUGCAAAGUAAUCUAUCAGUCUAAUUUUUUCUUCAACAGUAAUCUCUUUUCCCCUCCCCCAUCCCCGAUUUCUUAAAGAUGUUUCUAUUUGCUUGGGUUUUCAGUAUAAUUUCGCCAUGAUGUGUCUAGGUGUGAAUUUCUGUGUGUUUAUCUAGCUUUUUUUUUUUUUUAUCUUGCUGGGGAUUUUUAAGGGCUUCUCGAAUCUUUACCUUUAUAGCUUUAAUUAGUUUUAGAAAAAUCUCAGCCAUUGUCUCUUCAAAUAUUUCUUCUUCCUCAUUUUCUAGAAUUCCCAUUAAAUGUAUAUUAGACUUUCUCAAUCUAUUAUUUCUCUCUCACCCUCUUUUUUGUAUUUUCCAUCCUUUUGUUCCGCCAUGCUUUAUUCUGGAUAUUUUCUUCUGAACUAACAUCCAAUUUACGUAUGGUCUUUUCAGCUUUGUCUAGUCUACUAUUAAACCCACCCAUGAGUUCUUAAAUUUGGUUAUUAUAUUGUUCAGUUCUAGAAUUUUUAUUUGGUUCUUUUCCAUGGUUUCCAAUUCUCUUCUGAAAUUCUCAAUCUUGUCUUUUAUCUCCUUGAACAUAGUAAGCAUACUUAUUUUAAAGUCCAUGUCUGGUAAUACCAAUAUGUGGAGAUCCUAUGAAUUAGUUUCUAUUGUCCAUUGCCCUUCCGGUUUUUAUUCCUGUUAUCUUCUCAUCUUGUUUAGUAUUUUUUUGCUCUUACAGUGGACAUAAUUGAAAAAUUAAUUGUGGAAAUAAUUUAAGGCAGAGAAUGAUGUUAUCUUUCUCCAGAGAGGAUUUACUUUGUCAGGAGCCUGGGAACACUAGCAUCCUCGGGUUAAUUUAAUCCACUUUCAUGUAUUGAGAUGAUCUGAGGUUGAUCUACAAGGUCUGCAAGGUUUAUCUAUUUCUGGUUAAUAUUUACUCCUAUGGUUUCGUCCUCCAGGGCCCCAACCCAAAGAUAAGGGUUUUCCUGAGACACCCACCUUGUUAGGCCCUGGGCUCCAAUUCCUGGUGCUCUACCAUGUGAUGCUAUCUAAGGUGCUGCUCAGCCCCUUGACAUCUCUGCUGCCUGAUUUGGAGUUUCCUAACAGCCCAGAGGAAGAGUGGCUUCAGACUCUGGCUUACCUCCUGAAUCUCCAUUUUUCCAACUUCCUGGCUCACUAAUUCUUUACUCUUUUCUUAGCAUUCUGAUGCUUCCAGGAAUAUAUUUUUUUAUAAUUCAUGUAGCUUGUAUGUUUGUACUUACUGGGAAGCUUGGUGUGAAUUACCUAUAGUGCCGUGGUCCUCCACCUCUAAUUUCUCAUUUCCAGCCUUUUUUAAAUUCACAUCUCAGGGAAAGAAAUGUCCUUUCUUCUCUCCAAAGCAAGACUUUGCUGAUAUGACCUGGCCUUGUUUCUCUUAAAUCAUCUUUAAUUUCUCCCUUGACACUACAGCUUUCCUCUACAACAUGCCCAAGUAUCCUCUAGAUAAACAAAUAAAACCAACAAAAACCUUUCAGUAAACUCUGCUGUUCUUUCAAAUUUACAUCCUAUACAGUAUUAUUUUUGAUGACAGUUCUUGCUAGAAUAGUUUAACUCCUCCCCCACCUUUUUUUUUCAGAGUAAUGGUGACAAGUCUGCUCAAAUCAGGGCUCCCAUCUGGAUUGAUUCACUUGGCCAGAACAACUUUACACAUCAGUGGAUAAUAGAGAAGGGGGAGGGUAGGAAAAAGGGAGGAAUGAAAGAUAAAAUGUAUAAGGUUUUAAGUUAUGUAGUCCAGCACGUAAAUUUUUCUAUGAAAGCUCUGUCUCUGCCUUUCUCUCUUACUUCCUUUCUCCUCCCUUUUAUUGUCAAAGCUUUUGAAAGGGUAAUCUAUUCUUCCCGUUUCAAUUUUCCAAACAUUCACUCUCAUUUAAAGGUCACCAAAACAUCCUAGUUAUCAAUUCCGUGACCUUUCCUCAGUCCUCAUUCUCCUUGAUCUUUUUGCAGAAUCUGCCAUAGUUUCAGCUCUUUCUCCUAAAUUCUCUCCUCCUUUAGGUUCUGAAAGGCUUGAUUUUCUUAGGUCUUCUCAUGUUCUCUGAUUACUUAUUCUUGUACACCUUCUAUUUCUUUUUCUUCUAUUUCCUAAAGGUAGACAUUCUAAAAGGAUUUGUUUUUGGUCCUCUUUUCUGUUUUCAUUUUUUCUUUUUGUAAAUUCUUUGCAUUUGUAAAUUAAUGGUUUACACCAUUCCUUCUGUGUGAGGCUGCCCAAUCUAAAUAUCUGGACCGGGCUUCUCUGUGGAGUUCCAGUUCUGCUUUUCUGAAUUACUGCUGAUUUCUUUUCUAUAUGCAUAUCCUAGAGGUCCUUCAAAAAUAUUUUAAAAAUUGAGCUCAUAAUUUCCACCUGUAAAACUUCCUCUUCUUUCCAAUUUCUCAUGUCUGUUGUUGUCAUAACUACUUCCCUGUAAAUAUUUUUCCCCUACAUUAAGUACCCUUCCCUUUCUCUCCACUUAUUCAAAUACCAUGUAGCUUUGAAGGGCCAGCUCAAUGCCUUCUCUUUCAAGAAGCCUUUGAGUUGUGUCAUGAAAAAGUGUGGGUUUCAGCAGGAAGAUAUAUGCUUCAAAUCCAGGCUCAGUCACUAACUGUGUGACCCUGUAUAAGGUGUUAAGUACUGCAAACUUGAGUUUUCUCAUUCAUAAAACGGGAGUAAGAGAGCCUAACUCACAGGUUUAUUGAUAAAGAUUAAAUGAGUUAUUUAUGAAUAUGUUCUAUUUCUAUUACUGGUCUGUAAGCCCUUUGCGCACAAGAUCCUUUUCUGGUUAAUCAGUAUGUCCCCAGGUACUUAUUAAAGAAUUAUUCAAUGAAUAAAUGAAUACUGCACAUUUAUCAAACAACUUAGAUCUAGGUCAGCAUUUUAUUAAUUAAAAAGAUCAACCCUACUUUAUUUUAUUCAACCAAAUUUUGCCUUGUUAUAUGCAGUCAUUAGUUUGGCACUCCUAUUUCCACCCAAUUGAAUGGCUUGACUUAAUAUCACAUAGCUGCUAAGAUGGCUGAAGUAAUCAUGGACCUCUAUACCCAUCAUUGCCUCAGUCUGUUGUUGCCCUGCAAGUGUAGAGAAGUUUGAAUGAUAGUUUGGAGGGCUAAAUGGUAGAGACAACUGACCUUGGCUAUAAAGGUCUCUAAGUCCCAUCACCCCCUAUUAUUUUUGCUUAAUUUAUCCGGAUAAUUGCUUCAAAUAUUCACUUCUCUUGAUCUUUAUUGAAUGGCCUAUCAGACCCAGGCAAACAUCUGUUCCUAAGUCACUAUUCUCAUUUCCUUCUCUGACCUUCUUUCCUUCUCCUUGGCCUUAAAAGUGGGCAAGGCUGUUCUGCCAAACCAGCCCUCAGCUGGGAAGUGGCUCUUUUCCAAGAGUGCAUCAGGCCUGAUACACCUGUCUGCCAGAAUGGACAAGCCAAGCCCUCGUCUCCCUCUUGGCCUAUCAGAUACAGCUGAAUACGUUUGGCUGAUACUCUAGCAAUUUGGUUAUUUGCUUUUGGCUCUGAACUGAUUGUAGACCACCUGGUCAGAGCUUGGCUCACCCAUUUCCUAGUUCCCUUGGCAGAUGGUGUCUGACAGCCACAGUAUCUUAGCUCCUUUCCUCCCUUUCCACUCUCCCCCAAUAUGUAAGUCUUUCAAGGGUGGGAUAUGGCACACAGAAUGACUUUCCCGUAGCAUAAUCGAGAAGGUUUUCAAAAAAAAGUUUUCUGGUCCAGGCCAGUGUAGUUGGCUAAAUAAUGACCCCCAAUGAUAUUAAGUCCUAACCCAUGGAAUCUGUAAAUAUUACCUUAUUUGGAAAAAAGGUCUUUGCAGGUGUGACCAAAUUAAGAAUUUUGUGAUGGGGAGGUUAUUCUGAAUUAUUCAGGUGGGUUUUAAAUGCCAUCACAAGUGUCAUUAUAAGAGAGAGGCAGAGGGAGAUCACACACACACACACACACACACACACUAUAGAAAGUGAUGCGAAGAGGGAGGCAGAGAUUCAAGUGAUGUAGCCACAAGCCAAGGAACACCGGGAGCCACCAGAAGUUGGAAGAAGCAAGCCAAAGAUUCUCCCCUAGAGCACCCAGCGGGAACAUGGCCUUGUCAACAUCUUGAUUUCAGCCCAGUGGACGCCUGGCCUCCAAAACUGUGAGAGAAUAAAUUUCUGUUAUUUUCAACUACCAAGUUUGUGGUAAUUUUUUACAGUAGCCACUGGCGACUGUGACCCAGCCAGUCACAAUUAUGGCAGAGCUAAUUGCUGUAAUACUGUUGCCAGCUGUGCUUUACAGGGCACUUAAAUGGAAGACCAUAAGCCAAUGCUGACUCUCAGCUCUUUUGAUUCAGAAACUCAAUUUGAUCAAUUCACUGAGAUUCGACUGGGUUCAUAGCAACCAAUGGUCUAGACUGGAUACUACAUCAGAAUAUUCCAAUUUUUAUCUUUAUUGAAGAAGAGUGUCAGUCUCAGGCACGGCACCCUUCCCAAAGAGACCACAUUAAUAGUUCGGAAUUUUACUUGGUGAGCCCAUACCAGAAGAUGGAAAUAGGAAGAGGCAUAUGAAUUUAAUGUCAGUCAGGGUUCCUGCCAGCACUCCACAGCUUAGGGCCUCCACAGUAUGGAUGCCCCAGUAGCUGACACUCUUGCCCUUAAGUAUAAAGAAUUGCCUUUCCCUAUUAUGUAUCCAGGAAAAACCUAGUGCUUCCGACUGUUCAGGGUGGUUAGAACAUAUCAUUUUCUGCAGUAACUUUGCGGCAAGGAUGCUAGUGGUUGGAUAGAAGCUGCCCCAGAAGCACCUAGAAGCCCACAUCUGGGGUGCCCCAUCUGCUAUGUCAUAGUAAGUCAACAAGUAUUUAUUGACAAUGUGUUGGUCAGCAUUGGGUUGCAGAGCACAGAUGUCACUCUAGUUACUUUAAGCAGAAAGAGAUUUAUUGCAAGGCAUUAAAUGGCUAAUAAAAUAGCUGGCAGGGCCAAGAAGAACGGUUGUGGACUGGCCUGUGUGGGGUGAGUCCACUAAGAGAGCCGCUGCUCUUGCCACCACCAGGGAGUUGGCUGCCCAGCUGCAGAGCUGCCCUACAGCUGCUACAGUCUGCACCCCAAAAUGAAGCCUUGUGCCCUGCUUCUCUACCCACUGAACUCGGUUCCAAAUUCAAGUCUUGCAUGACUGCCUACUAUUCGAGGAAUUUAAAUUACAGCCAGGAUUUUAGCUGCAGGGCAGUUGGGGAAAUAUAGUUUUACCAUUCCAGCUACUGCAUUACAGGAAGGCAACAUACAAGUUGGUUGCAAUGGGUGUUGAGUGAGCCAACCCACAGUUUCUAACACACACACACACACACACACACACACACACCUACUAUAUAAUCCAGUCAACCCACUGCUGUCAAGUUGAUUCUGACUCAUAGUGACCCUAUAGGACAGAGUAGAACUGCCCCAUAGAGUUUCCAAGGAGCGCCUGGCAGAUUUGAACUGCUGACCUUUUGGUUAGCAGCCGUAGCACUUAAUCACUAUGCCACCAGGGUUUCCAACUACAGUAUACUGAGCCUAUUCCAAGUGAAUAAGACAGAGUCCAAGCACUCAAGGAGCUUACUUUCUCAUGGAUGCAGAUACCAUGUUUAUCAACAAAUAAAUACAGUAAUUUCAGGUACUGGUGAGCACUACAAAGUAGAUAAAGUCAUGUAAUGAGGGAGUGGCCAGGGUGGGGUGGUAGUUGCUUUAGCAUGAGUGAUCAGUGAAGGCCUCUUGAAGUGACACUUUUGAUUUAGAUGUGAAUGAUGAAGAGACAGUCAUGCAAAAAUCUGGGGAAAUGGUGUUUCAAGAGGAGGGAACAGCAAGGGCAAGGCCUGGAGACAGGCAUAACUUGACAUGAUCAGGGAAGGGAAAGGUCUAGUAUAGAUGGAAUUCGGUGAAUGAAGGGAGAGUGGAGGGACAUGAGGUCGUAGAGCUAGGCAGGCACUGAACCCUGAGGGCGUUGCGGGAGUGUGGAUUUUAUCCUGGUUGCGGCAGGAAGUUACUAGAAGGUUUUAAGGAGGGAAGUUGCAGUGGAUUGAAUAAUGUGUCCCCAAAUUCAUGUCUACAUGGAACUUCCGAAUGUGACAUUAUUUGGAAAUAGGGUCUUUACGGAUGUAAUUAAGGUGAGAUAGAGAUGAGAUAAUCCUGGGUUAGGGUGGGCCCUAAAUAAAAAAACAGUGUCUUUAUCAGAGACAGUAAAAGACAUACAGGGACGCACAGAGAAGAAGACCAUGUGAAGGUGAAGGCAGAGACUGGAGUGAUGCGUCUACAAGCCAAGAAACACCAAGAGUUGCCAGGAACCACCAGAACCUGGGAAAGAGGCAUGGGACAGUUUCUCCAUCAACUGCCAACACCUUGAUUUUGGACUUCUGUUCUCCUGAACGGUGAGAGAAUAAAUUUCUGUUGUUUUAAGCCACCCAGUUUGUAGUAACUUAUUAUGACACCUUAGCAGACUAAUGCAAGACUGAUAUGGUCCAAUUAGUGCCAUGGAAAGAUCACUCUGGCUGCUUCUGGAGAUGAACUCUAGGAGGCCAGGACUGGGAGGCACAGUAGUGCCUGAGUAGAUGAUGAGAAGCUGUCAGAUUCAGGAUAUAUUAUAGAGGUAGACCCUAUAGACAUUACUCUUGAAUUGGGUGUAGGGUGGGGAGAUGAUAUAGAAGAGUUGGAUUUGGCUGUUAGUUUUGUGGCUUGAGUAACUGGUGCAAUUCACUGAGAUGAGGAGGCUUGGGGAGCUGAGUUGGGAUUGAUAAUUAAGCUUUGGCCAUUCUAAGUUCGAUAUGCCUAUUUGACAUCUAAGUGAGAUGCUGAGCUAGGCAAUUGAGGCUAUACCAGUCUAGGACUUUAGGGAAAAAUAGGCACAGGGGAUAACUUUUGAAAGUCAUCAGCACAUAGAUGACAUUUGAAUUCUUGGGACUAAAUGACAGAGUAGAUAAGGAAGGGAGAGGAGCUGACGUCAGAACUCUGGGGGCACGUGAAUGACAUUUAGAAAUCUGGUUGAGAAGGCAGAGACAAAGGGGCCUGAGAAAAUGUGGGGAGUGGGUCAGGAGAAAAACCAUCUGUGGGAUCAGAGAAUUCAUCUGAAGAAAGUGUUUCAAAGAGUGAGAUGUCACCCAUGAGUGCUGUGGAGGGCUCAAGUAAGGUGAAGACUAUUGAGCACUAGCGUUGGCUUGAUGAAGGUCUUUCAUGAGCUAUUUCAGGGAAGUGGUGGAGACAAAAUCUUGACUGGAGCAGUUGAAGGAGAGAAUGGCAGAUGAGGAGGUGGUGAUGGUGUUUAGACAGCUCUUUGGGGAUGUUUCUCUGAAAGAAAGCAUGGAGAUGGGUCAGUUGCUGGAGGAGGAUGUGGGAUCAAGGGAGAGAGAGGAUAAUGGUGGGAAAGGUGUCCUUGAGAAACCAGAGAGGAGGUAAUUCAGGGCACGUGUAGAGCUGUUCUCCUUAGAUAGUCCAGGGACAAUUCGGUUGUUGUCAUAAGGGAAGGCAUAUCUGUUACCAUAGUCGGUGGUGGGAAUUUGUGGCUGGUGGAAGAGGUGAAGAAAGUCCAGCUCAGAACCUAGUGGCAAGGGCUGGAGUCCCUGUUUUAGUCCUUUUGUGGGAUGAUGCCCCCAGUUGCACAGGUGAUUUGUUCAUUUCACAUAUGCAAACUCCAGGCUUUAAGUUAGGAGUCCCUGGAUGGUGCAAACAGUUAAUACCCUUGGCUGCUAACUGAAAGGCUGGAGGUUCAAGUCCACCCAGAGGCUCCUUGUAAGGAAAGCAUGGCAACCUACUUCCAAAAAAUCAGCCACUGAAAACCCUAUGGAGCACAGUUCUACUUAGACACACAUGAGGUCACCAUGAGUCGGAGUCAACUGAUGGCAACUGUGUUUUGUUGUGGUUGUUAGGAUUUAAGUUAUCUGCUCCUUAAAGGUCUGGAACCACUGCCUUCCCUUCUUCCCUCCAUCCCCCAUCCUAUCUCCCCUCUUGGGUAUUUUGUCAUGGUCAGGCUGUUUUUUCUUUUAAACUUUUUAAACACAAGGAGUCUGAUUAUAUCCCCUUCUCCUAGAAUAAUGGGCUGCUUCUUGCUCCUUUUAUUCAAAAUGAAGCUAAUAAAGAAAUUCCUCUUGAGUUGUCUUCGUUGAUAGCAUAGGGUCCUUGCUCUGCACCUACCCUGCUAAGUAGAGCCUCCUCAGACAUUCUUAGGGGUCCUGGCCCAUUCCUUUCCCUCUUGCCCCAGCCUCGUUAUGGGGCUACCCUCAGGAAGUGCAAGCUGGUUUUCUUACACUUUCUAUUUCCCUAAAAAAAGGGAAAAGUCUUCAUAAAUUUAAUCUUAGCUAACUAAUAAUAUGGUUUAGCUUAUUCUCCUUUUACUGUCUAGCAUAAUUUUUUUAGUGACUUUUCAGCACUAGAAAAAGGCAAGCAAUGAACAAAAGCAGCUGCUGUGGAGUCCAUCCUGACCCAUGGUGUGCCCACUUGUGUCAGAGUAGAACUGUGCUCCAUACGGCUUUCAAUGGUUGAUGUUUUGGAAGUAGAUCAUCAGGCCUUUCUUCCAAGGCACCUUUAGGUGGACUUGAACUUCCAACCUUUCAAUUAGCAGCUGAGUGUUUUAAGUGUUUGCACCACCCAGGGACUCCACAGAGCACUAUUCUCAUGAAAUAUUAUUCACCAAAAAGACUUUUGUGGUCAAACCAAUUUUGGAAAUCUUGCAUAUUAAAGGCUUGGAGGAGUCCUGUAGUUUAGAAACUCUUUUAACUACCCACCAUUUCUCAAACUUAUUUGACCCCAAAACAGUGUUCUGAAGAGUACACCUUGAGAAAUUUCUGCCUAAGUUAGCUCUUAAUACUCCAGAAAAAAGUAAUCAUCACUAUUUACCCUCAGGAUUCAAUGAACCCUUUAAACAAUACUUUUCAUUCAUUUUGUGAGUAAUCUGUAGAGGUAAGGACAAAAGGAUAGUGACAAACAGCUCUAUUAAAAUUUUUAAUAAGAAUUUAAACACAGCAAAUCCAAUUUUUUAUUCCAUAUUUUCCUGGUUUUGGAGAGAUAUAUACCUGAAGUGGGAAACGCUCUUGGAAUGCAACCUGCUUCCCAUCGACUGUUGUGCAUGAAUCUGGGAGAUCUGUCUUGUAAAUACAGACUUAGAUUUCAAAUACAUCUCUAGUAGGUUCUAGCUUAUCACUGUUUCUGGUUCUUCUUCUUGCACUCGUGUCAUCAAAAUAUGGGAACAAAUUUUUUGAAACCUUCGAUAGUGCAUAACUUUGUUAAAGUCCCUGGGUGAUGCAAACAGUUAAGCUCUCAACUACUAGCUUAAAGGUUGGUGGUUCAGACCCACCCAGAUGUGCCUCAGAAGACAGACCUGCUGAUCUGUUUCUAAAAGGUUAUGGCCUUAAAAACCCUAUGGAGUCAUAGUUCUACUCUGCACACAUGGGGUCACCAUGGGUCGGAGCCAACUCAAUGGCAACCACCACCACCAAAAACAAUUUUCUUCAAGAGAGAAUGGACAUCUUCCAUAAUUUUUGGAUUUAUGAACACCAGAUCAGAUGCUCAGUCCAACAAGUUGUUCAUUUCUACAUCAUCUGUUUCCCUCCAGUCACAUUUGUAUACACAUGUGCCUUUAGCAUUUGUCGACUUACAAAUCAUGUCAAGUAAAUUUCAGUGGACAAACAUCAUAAAAGACGAAGGAACACCAUCGUGCAUCCUUUUAGCAAACGAGAUGGUCCAGGUUCCUGUGAAAAAUAUUGCAUGAAGAAGUCCUUCUGUGCAAUGACUAACUGAAUGAGAAUACUAUGUUUCCUCUUGGUCCUUGGAAAUCAUAUUUUUAAGUUUGAGAAAGUUCAUUUGGGUAUUGUCAUCUGAAGUCUUAUGGUCUGAGAUUUCACUUUUAUGAUCAAUUUCAUCACCAUCGUUAUAGAUAGGAGUUGCUGCCUGUCUUAGUUAUUUAGUGCUGCUAUUACAGAAAUACCACAAGUGGACGGCUUUAACAAAGGGAAAUUUAUUUUCUCACAGAAUAGUAGGCUAGAAGUCCAAAUUCAGGGAGUCAGUUCCAGGGGAAGGCUUCCUCUCUCUGUUGGUCUGAAGGAAGGUCCUUUUCAUCAGUCUUCCCCUGGUCUAGGAGCUUCUCCACACAGGAACCUUGGGUCCAAAGGACACUCCCUGUUCCUGUGUUGCUUUCUUGGUGGUAUGAGGUCUCCAUGUCUCUCUGCUUGCUUCUCUCUUUUAUAUUUCAAAAGAGAUUGGCUUAAGACACAAACGGAUUUUGUAGAUCUCAUCAACAUAACCACUGCUAAUCCAUCUCAUUAACAUCACAGUGAUAGGAUUUACAAUGCACAGGAAAUCACAUCAGAUGACAAAAUGGUGGAUAAUCAUAUAGCACUGGGAAUCAAGACCUAGCCAAACUGACAGAUAUUUUUGGGGCCGCAAUUCAAUCCAUGACACUGUCUCUUUGUCUCCAUUUUCUGAUUCAGCUAAUAGUUGUGAAACAUCUUCCUGUGUCUUUUUUUUUUUUUUUUUUGCCAUUUUAGACCACACAGUGAAACGGGUUUCUCUUAUAUAUGACUUUUUUGGCCUUGGGUUUGUAAUUCUGCCAGAAAUUCUUGGUUGGGUAGCAGUAUGCCCUGUGAUUGGUUUAUUUUACUAACUUUACAGGGAUUGGUCAGUUUGAUAGUUGAAAAGUGGUGUGUAAAACCACCCAAUAGAAUUAAGUAACUUGCAGCCCACAGAGGAGAUUAGUGGGUUCGUGGCCCUGCAUGGGGGAUCUUGAAAUUGACGAAGAGUUUGCUUACAUAAGCACCAGCCCCACAGAAAUUUUUUUUCUUUUCUGUUUUUUAAUUUUUAUUGUGCUUUAAGUGAAAGUUUGCAAAUUAAGUCAGUCUCUCAUAUAAAAAUUUAUGUAUACCUUGCUAUAUACUCCUAGUUGCUCUCCCCCUAAUGAGACAGCACACUCCUUCCCUCCACUCUCUACUUUCGUGACCAUUCAGCCAGCUUCUGACCCCCAGAGUGGGUCUCAUCUCCCCUCCAGACAGGAGCUGACCACAUAGUCUCAUGUGUCUACUUGAUCCAAGAAGCUCACUCUUCACCAGUAUCAUUUUCUAUCCCAUAGUCCAGACCAAUCCCUGUCUGAAGAAUUGGCUUUGGGAAUGGUUCCUGUCUUGGGCUAACAGAAGGUCUAGGGACCAUGACUUCCAGAGUCCUUCUGGUCUCAGUCAGACCAUUAACUCUGGUCUUUCUACGAGAAUUUGGGGUCUGCAUCCCACUGCUCUCCUGCUCCCUUAAGGGUUCUCUGUCCCACAGAACUUUUUAGAAAAGGGGAAGAGGGAACCUUAAGACCAAGAAGAGCUCAGAGCAGAAUGAUUUGGACCUGGGGUUCCUGUGAGGGAAACCUCCUGAAAGAGCUAUAAUAUGGUUCAAGUGCAGUAGCACUGAAGACAACGAAAGGCCUGGAAGGGUCCUGUUGGCAGAGCUGACUGUGAGAGGCCCAGAAGGGACUCAGUGGCAGAGCCAGUAGCUGUGAAGAACUGCAUACCUAAGAGAGGGUCUGCAUGGCUGAAAGGGCUGCAUCACUGGCUAGGAGCUUGGCCAUUUAGCAGCAGAGAAGCCGAUAGUGGGGAAGCUUGAUGGCAGAGAGGCCUGAUGGCUGAGAGCAGCUAAAAGAGCUGUCCUGGUUGGAAGCUGUCCUACACUGAGGAAGAGAGGGAUGUGCUCUCCACUUCAAGGGAGCCUUCCACACCUUGCCUGUGAGCUUCUUGAUCCUGACCCUGAGUUGUUUCUAUUGCUUCCAAGUUGAUCCUGAUCCUGAGUUGUUUCUAUUACUUCCAAGUUGAUCCUAAUCCUGAGUUGUAGCCUCUAUUGAAAAUAAUCUGGAGGUGAAUUUACAGAAUGAUUACCGUUUUAUACUUCUUAUUAAUUCUUGUAUCUCAUCAUCAGUACUUCUUAUGUGUCCUGUCUUCAGCCACUGCUACACUGUGGAUAUGUAAUAAACAAUACAUGACAAGGAGUAACUGUGAGUAAAGAGCCCUGGUGGUGGAGUGGGUAAAGCAAUUGACUGCUAACUGAAAGAUCAGGGGUUUGAAACCACCAGGGGCUCCCUGGGAGAAAGAUGUGGCAGUCUGCUUCCGUGAAGAUUUACAUCCUUGGAAAUCCUAUGUGGUCGCUAUGAGUCAAUAUCAACUCAACAGCAGUAGGUGUGGUCUGAGUACUGUGUGGCCAUUGCAACAAAUUAUUGAACCCUGCAGAAGAGCAGAGAGUGCCAUGGAUGGAACGGCUGGUGUCAGAAAUGGUGAAGAAGUUGGAGAGUGAAGGUAUGUUUGACCUCUACCUCAUAGGAACCAGCUUUGUGCUGAUCCUGAUUCUUAUCCCUGGUGAAUUUAGACAGCUCACUGCAUUGUAUUACAGACCAACAGGAAAAAAAAAAAAAAAAAUUUGUACAUUUUCAACUGUUCAGUGCCAGCUACCAAGAUGGUGUCUCCAGGCUUCUUUUACACCUUCUUGAAGCUGAUGCAAUACUUUCCACCAACGCAAUAAUACUGAGAAUGAUGCAAUUCUGAUUAUUUGUUUUGCUAUUGCAGCAUCCUUCUAAUCUAGGUAGCUCCAUCAUUUUUUAAACAUAAAAAAAUAAUUAACAAAUAAUGAUGAAAUAGCAAAAUAUUUCAAGAUAUAAGAAAAAUAAGAAUGCUCGAGUUCCUAAGUGUAAUUCAGCUGUUAUAAAAUGGUCCGAAGGACACCUAUGGUAAUUGCAAUACAGAGUGAGUUUUAUUACUUUUAAGAAAAAUAAGUAAUUGUCUUUUUUCUUUGGAAAAUCUCUAAGUAAGAAUAAAAGUCAAGUAAUAUCAAUCCUUACAAUUAGGCAGAACUACCCAAAAAAGGAACUCAAAAAUUAAAAUCGUAUCUAAUGGAUCCUGAUUAUAUGCUGAGUUAGUUUUUUUCCAAUAUUGUACUCACAUGCAAUCUCUUAAAACUUUCUAGGAACGAAAACGUGUUUUUCACUUUUGUUUUGUAUAUGAUAAAGAAAUGAUUUUGAGUAAAACAUAUCUUUUAGGUUAGUAUGUUCUUAGUGUUUGUAUCUAAAGUUUAUUUUAUACAAUUUAAAAAGUAUUCAUGAUAUUUGUCUUUUUCUCUGUUUAACAAGUGACAAAUGCCACUUAGUUUAUUUGACAUGAAUUUAUAUAGUAAAAAGUGUUAUUUGUGAUGAAUAAAGUAAAAAAGGCUUAUUAGGCUUUCAAUUUUACUUCCUAAACAUUUAUUAGAUGUAUUUUAUAAUGUUAUAGCAUAAAAAUAGGCAAAAAAAUUGUUUUAUUUUCCUGAUGUUUAGAAUGCUUAUAUUUUGCAGUGAGACCCAAUUGGUCUACUUUGGUAAUUUUUGAUAUAUUUUUUCUAAAUAACAAGAUAAGGCAAGAGAUUUUUAGCUGGUCUUUUCAAAUAAUACAUUGUGGAUAUGAAUAUUUUUCAUCAACAAAUUAAAAGCCAAAUUGGAUGUAAUUGCUACUUUUUUUUUUUUUUCUUUUCAACUUACAUUUCUGAAGUGCUAGAAAUCUGGUCCUGGUGAAAAUAACCUGGACAUGAAUUUGCAGACUGAUUAUCAUUUUAUACUUCUUGUUAAUUCUUGUAUCUCAUCAUCAAUGCUUUGUACACUUUGUACACUUUGUACACUACCUGUUUUCAGCCACUGCUACACUGUGGAUAUGCAAUAAAUGAUACAUAACAAAGGAUAAAAACAGUUAAGAACUGUUGUGCCCAAGACCACCAUGGCAGCUGGCAGUGGUCAGUUGAGGACCACAUGGAUGACUGGUUGAAUCCCAAGGAAGCUCAUCCCUUCUCUGCAAACAACUGUACGCACUCACGCUGUACAUACUAGAAGGCCCUGAAACAGUUGCAUUUCAAAGCAGAAAAAUUUAAAUAAUCAUUUUAUUUGUUGAGUUAAAAAAGAGAAAUGGACAUAACAUGUUUUUAGCUCUUCUAAUGAGGUAAAUCCCUGGAUCUCUUUUCAGAAACAUUUUAGACUCACUGGUUGAGAAACUCUGGCAUUUGGGUCCUGGCCAGUGCUCUCAGAGUGGUGUGGAAAUGCCUGACUCAUUCUUCUUCUUUGAAGCUCCUUCGUACAGAUAUUGUCUGUGGACAUUGUAGCCUCCUGGGCCCAAGUGUCUGAUAGAGGGUGUCAUGGAUUGAAUUGUGUCCCCCCAGAAUAUCUGUCAACUUGGCUAGGUUGUGAUCCCCAGUAUUGUAUGAUGGUCUACCAUUUUGUCAACUGAUGUGAUUUUCCUAUGUGUUGUAAAUCUUAUCACUAUGAUGUUAAUGAGGUGGAAUAGGUGGCAGUUAUGUUAAAGAGGCAGGACUCGAUAUACAAGAUUGGAUUUUGUCUUGAGCCAAUCUCUUUUCAGAUAUAAAAGAGAGAAGUGAGCAGAGAAACGGGGGACCUCACACCACCAAGAAAGCAGCGCUGGGAGCAGAGCGCAUCCUUUGGACCUGGGGUUCCUGCGUGGACAAGCUGCUAGUCCAGGGGAGAAUUGAUGACAAGGACCUUCCUCCAGAGCCAACAGAGAGAGAAAGCCUUCCCCGGGAGCUGAUGCCCUAAAUUUGGACUUCUAGCCCACUAUACUGUGAGAAAAUAAAUCUCUCUUUGUUAAAGACAUGGUAUUUCUGUUACAGCAGCACUAGAUAACUAAGACAGAAGGUGAGAGGUUGAAGUGAGCCUAGGAGCAACCGUUGCUACUUAGACUCUGGACUGCCUGAAGAAAGGCAUAGUUGGGUGGUGCACCUUCUCUCAUCAGAGUUCUUCCCAGGCCAGUCAAUGCACACCUUGUUUCCUUCCCUGGUGGGUCAGGAAGGCCUGUGAGGACACUACCUGGCCCUUUUCCUUUGGAGCUAUGGUAUAAGUCUAUGAGUAGUUUCCCUCUCCCUGUAAUGCCUGGCUCUAGCACGAGGAUGUCCCUCUAACAACCUUGCCCUUGGAAAAUAUUUCAGAUGUGGAUGUUCUUUGCCAGGGUCAAGAGCCUCGUUAGCCAUGAGCCCAGUGGCCUUAAAGAUAAUUACACAGGGAAGAAAAGAAGAAAUGGUAUAGAAAGUAGAGAAAAUCAAGAAGGGUGAAACAUGAAGGAAGAUAGAAAAAAAAAAUGUAUGUGUCUCAGGGAUUAGUUGAACCACUGGAUUCACAUCAUUAGAAGAGCUAAGAACAUGUUAUGUCUCAGUUAGAAGUUAUCUCUUCCCAGGCUGGACUCAUUCUAUGUUUUCAUCAAUAAAUGUUAGAUAGAAUUUGAAUGCAGUGCCAAGAAGCAGCCUACUGAUUUGAUAUGCUUUUGGGAUAAAUGCCCAUAAAAAGAGCAUGUAACUAGAAUAUAAGCUGUGUAAAGGCAAGUACUUGAAGCUUCUUGUUCAUUCCGGUAUCCCUAAUAUCCAUGAACAGUUUCCGACAUGGACUAAGCAUGUGGUAAACAUUUGUUGAGUUGAAUAGAAUGUUCUCUUAUGCAUAGAUCUAGGUGAACGCUGAAGGAACUGGGUUUUGAAAUUGUCCUGUGUUCUCAUGGGUCUAAAGGCCAGGAGGUCCUUCUCUUCCUGUAACCAACCAGCAGCCAUGAGGUUGAUUUCAACUCAUGGUGACCCCAGGUGCAUCAGAGUAGAACUGUGCUCCACUGGGUUUUCAAUGGCUGAUUUUUUGGAAGUAGAUUGCCAGGCUGUCCUUCUGAGGCAUCUCUAGGUGGGCUGGGACCACCAACUGUUUGGUUAGUAAACGUUAACCAUUUGCACUAAAUAGUGUUAACUGUUUGACUCUUCCCUUCCCUUCCUCUAGGGCCUGAUAUUUAGAGAUUACAGUGCAGAGGCACAGCUCUACGUCUGCCCUUGAUACGGAACAGUUCUUCCCAUCAGGAAGAAUAGCCUCUUGAGACAAGCUUCUGGAGGGACACAUGUGGGUAGCGUAGGAGAAGUGGACCAGUAGCCAGGUGGGCUGAUUGACCCUAAUGCUCUACCAGUGAUGGCCAUCAAGUCCAGCACACCCUAGCUCACUCUUGGGGUCUUAGCUUCAUCAUCUUUAAGAUCGAAGUUGUUGUGGUUGUUAAUUGUAAUUGAGUUGGCUCUGACUCAUUGCAACCUUAUGUACAACAGAAGAAAUGUUGCCUGGUCCUGCACCAUCUUCAUGAUCAUUGGUAUGUUGGAGCCCAUUGCUGCAGCUGUGUGUCAAUCCACCUUCUCUAGGGUCUCCCUUGACUUUGCUGGCCCUCCACUUGACCAAAUAUAUGCCCAGUGAUUGGUCUCUCCUGAUGACAUGUCCAAAGUAAGUGAGUUGAAGUCUUGGACAAUGUUCUGUGAUCCAUAGAAUUGUCACUGGCUAAUUCUUGGUAUUAGAUUGCCAGGCCUUUCUUCCAAGUCUGUCUUAGUCUGGAGGCUCCACUGAAACCUGUCCACCAUGGGUAACCCUGCUGGUAUUUGAAAUACUGGUGGCAUAAUUCCCAGUAUCACAGCAACAUGCAAGCCACCACAGUACAGCAAAUUGACAGACGGGUGGUGGAGACUAAAGUUAGUGUCUAUCAUUUACCUCCUUCAGAGAUGUUGAGAUGGAUGAUAAAUUAAUAUGAAAAAUAAUCUAAACAAAUGCCACCUGUUAUAAUGCUUUUGACAGAGCCAUCUGUGGGGUAGAUGCAGAUGGAUGGAAAUCUAUGCCCCUGGGAACAUGGGGAAUACUGAAAGGGUGUCCACCGACAGAUUGCCCAGUCUGCAGUGUUGCUGGGGUGUGUGCAUUUUGGGAUUGCAGGAGUCAGGGAUAGCCUGUGAGCAAUGGAGGCAGUGUGAGCAAUAGUAUAACCAUGCCUUGGACUUGUAUGUCACUUUAAUCCUGGCUCUCCUUGUAAGAUUGUUGUGGCUGGUGUUAGCUGCCAUCAAGUUAACUCAUGCACAGCAAAACAAAACGCUGCUCAGUCCUGUGCCAUCCACACAAUCAGUUGUGAACAGGGUUUCUGUGGCUAAUUUCAUAAGUAGAUCAUCAGACCUUUCUUCCUAGCCUGUCUUAGUCUGGAAGAUCCUCUGAAACCUGCUCAGCAUCAUAGCAACACAAACGCUUCCAUUCACAGAUGGCUGGUGGCUGUGCCCUGAGAUGCAUUGAACCUGGGUGUCCUGCAUGGAAGGUGAGUAUCCUACCACUGAACCUUCAACAUCCCUGACUUAUAGGUUUUAGAAACAAACAAACAAACCCACUACAGUAGAGCCGAUUCUGACUCCUAGUGACGCUAUGGGACAGAGUAGAAUGGCCCCAUAGGGUUUCCAAGGCUGUAAAUCCUUAAGGACACAGACUGCCACAUCUUUCUCCCGUGGAGCGGCUGGUGGGUUUGGACUGUCAACUCUUCAGUUAGCAGCCGAGAGCUUUAACCACUGUGCAACCAUGGCUCCUCCUUGUAGGAUACCAAACCAAAAACAACCAAACCUGUUGCCAUCAAGUUGAUUCUGACUCAUAGCGACCCUUUAGGAUACAGUAGAACCGCCUGAUAGGGUUUUCAAAGAGUGGCUGAUGGAUUUGAACUGCUGACCUUUUGGUUAGCAGCCAUAGCUCCUAAUAACUGUGCCACCAGGGCUCCUCUUGUAGGAUAAAAAAAAAAAAGUAGGAUAGGGAGGGGCAAAUCUUUCAAAGGAUAACUGUCUCCCCUGCAGGGAAACUGUGUGCAGACACCAGGCUCUGUGUGCUGGGUGGGCGUCUGGCAUGGAGCAGCAGUUAACCUGCUGUGUUCUGGGUAGUGUGGCUGGAUCCCACACAGGGAGCCCUUGGGAGGAGAGGUGUGGCUCCAGAGGGGCAGGCACAGCUAGAGAGCUCCCCACAGGACUCUCUCAAGCCACAUUUCUGACUGUAACUCUGCUGGGAGUGGGGCCGUUGUAGGGCCAGGGAGCUUCUGGGCCAAGCCGUAGGAUCUCUAGGAUGAGGGGCAGGGUCCUUCCUUCGUGGGUCUGUCCUCGUCUCCAGAACAGACCAAGAAACUUUCAAAUGGCAGUGGUCAGGCUAUUUGAUCUGGAACUGGAGUUUCCAAAAGGGUUGAUUUACUGUGUAAAGUAAAAUCAGCGAAAACUCUUAUUGCAAAUGCUGCUUACCUGGUAUUUGUAGGCUAAUGGCUUGGGAAGCCAGAGUGCCUUUCAUCUCCUGAAUUCAGCUUAAUGAUGUGUUCUAAACACUUUCCAUGUUCAGGGGUGCCAUGUACAGUUGUGGAGUUUGUGCACUGCACAAAGGCGCUAGGCUUGGUGUGGAGGGGAGUACGCACAUGGAUUCUGAAAUCCAGAUUGUGCUUCCCUGUGGAAUGGGCUCGGGGCUGCCUUCCCUGGAGAGAGGGACCCUUUUCUUUACACAGGGCAUUGCUCUGCAGGGUUGUCAUCCAGGCUAGUGGACACCAUCAUUUUCCUCAGCUGGGCUAGACGUUGGGGAUACAGCGAUGAGGAAGACAGAACACUUUCCUUCCAGUCAUAUAUAGAUUCUUAAGAAGAUUCAGAAUCUAGACAAAUGCAAUUGUACUACUUCUCGUUUCCUUUCCCAUAAUAUUCCUUUCUGGUUUGUUUCUGUCAUCAGUCUUGGAAAGGCUGAGAUGCUCUUGGGGAGACCACACAAUUUUGCUGGGAGACUUUCCAUUUGCUGAAUGUUUGUAGGAGCCAGGUUUGGUGAAAACAUAGCAGAAAACCUGUAUACUGGUGUUCAUUGCAGCACUUUUCACAAUAGUCAAAAGGUAGAAACCACCGAAAUGUUCAUCAGCAGACGAAUGGACAAAUAAAAAAUAGUCUAUACAUACAAUGGACUGUUACGUAGCUGUAAACAGAAAUGAAGUCCUGAUGCAUGCUACAACAUGGAUAAACCUUGAAAUCAUUAUGCUGAGUGAAAAACAGACAUAAAAUGACAAAUACUUUAUGAUCUCAUUUACACAAAAUAAGCUAGUAUAUAGAAACCAAAGAUUAUUAAUGGCUACCGGGGUGGGAGAGAGUGGGAAAGGGGAAGUUUUUGUUUGGGGAACAGUGAGGUUACGUUAAUGGUGGUGGAAUAUAUUUGAACAGGAUAACGAUAAUGGUGGCUCAAUAUGAAAAAUGUAGUCAAUGUCAUUGAAUUGUCAACACGUAAGUUGUUGAGUUGGUAGAUGUUUUGGUGUGUAUGUUUUCCUCACAAUAAUACUAAAACACAGCUGUGAGACCGAGAGAGGGGCCCUUUCUGUGGGCACAUUAGUCCUAUGAAGACAGAAAAGCAAAUCCCACAGUUCCUGGGCCUGGGGGCUGACUUUCUGAGGUAGCUGCUAGAGUUACUUGGUUUGCUAGGCUCUGAGGUAAAACCCCUCAGCUGAGCUGAUGAGCCAGCCCACAUGUCCCCGGCACACUCUCUCCCACUGUUGACCUAUGUUGGGUGUGCUGUAUAGACAUCGGUGAGGGAAUAAAAACCCAACCAAACAUAACACCUCAAUGGUUAGGUCUCAGAGAAGCCAAAUGUGCAAAUGUCAUCAUCCCGUAGACUCAUCCCAUGAGAUGGAGGAUGUGAAAGUCAUCCCAAAUAGGGACAGACGAGCCGGGUGCUGCAAUCUCGGCUCCUGCUAUUGUAAACAUCUUAAUUGUAACACUGGGCAGUUCCCAGCCUGGGAAAAAGCCUUGUCAGCAGCUAUGUGGUCAAACAAAGAAAGAUGAUGUAAGCCUGUUGUGUGAGCAGGCUGCUGUGCGUGUGGAGGCGGCAUCUCCUCUGUCUGCAUCGACCUCAUGCACAUGGAGAAGUGUAGAGUUGAGACGUUGCUUGGUUGAUGCCUGAACUUCCUUGCUUGGGGUGUGCAGGUUGGGCACUGGCCGUCCCAGGGGCCCCAGUCAUUACACACUUCAAGAAUGGGCUGUACUUUUGUAACAAUUAUCUGAGAGUUAGAAGGAAAGCAUUUUGAAGAGGGGAACUUUUCCAAAUUUGCAUAUGAUCUGAUAGAGAGCUGCUCUUGAUUCGACUCUAACUCAUGGUGACCUUAAGUACAAUAGAAUGAAAUAUUUCCUGGUUCUGAGUCAUCCUUACAAUCACUGGCAUGUUUGAGUCCAUCUUGGUGGCUAUUGUGCCAAUCUUUCUCACCGUGGGUCUGUCAUGCCCUUGCUGGCCCUCUACUUCACCAAAAAUGAUGUCCUCCUCUAGAAGUUGAUCCCUCCUGAUGACAUAUCCAAAGCAAGGGAGUCAGACAAUGUUCUGUUGUGUUUUCAUUGGCUAAUUUUUAGUAAAUUGCCAGACCUUUCUUCCUAGUCUUUCUUAGUCUAGAAGCUCUGCUGAAACUUGUCCACCAUGGGUGACCCUCUGGUAUUUGAAAUACCAAUGAUACAGCUUGCAACAUCAUAGCAACACAAAAGCCACCACAGGAGAUAUGACAGAUGGGUGGUGGUAUUGUGUUCUGAUAGGGGUCUUGUAUAAGGAAGUACGGGAAACAGCACCCUUUUAGUACCUUUAAAUAUUUUCCCGGUAUAACAAUGCAAAAUGGGAAAGUGUAUAGGCAGUAAGAGGGCUGGGAUUUCAGGGAGUGGAGAGGUCAUCGUUGGACUGUUACUAAAGGUUACACAGGGAGGUGGCACUU